GCGUCACACUGCAACACUACUUCCGAAUGUGUGCGAGAUAUUUUUUUCUGUUAUCAAAUAAUAUGGCCACUUUGAAAAGUAACUUAACUUCUACCAGAGGAUGACAAGCUCAAGUUUUUUUUAGUUUUUUUUUUUUUUUUGCAUGGAGCUCAAGGUUAAUUGCUGAAAGAGGAACAUGAAGCGGAUGUAAAAAGAACUCCAGGUUUGCCUACACCACUUGUAUUAGCACUUUCAACAGAGAUAAGAUACAAAGGUGUUUAAUUGUUCGAUUUUGGUGCAUCCACCUUAAAGAUUGAAUGAACUUCUGUAUGUGACUGAUAGAAAAGAAAGCCGUUAAUUUGUUCCACUUGCUGGUUUUCUGAAGACAAAAAUUAAAAUGUCAUGGAACUGCACGAUUAUUUCAAAGGUCAGCAAUGAAUUGCUCGACAUUAUACAGUAUAAAACAGGAGAAAGGCGGUCAGUGAGCUUCCUCCAGCAGAAGACAGAAAUGGGAGAGGGGAGGAGAUUGGUUGUUGCCGCCACAGGAAGGGGAAUCAGUUGGGAGAUCACUGGGCUAGCGGGAGAACACGCAGCCAGUUAAGGUACAGGUGAACGCGGCCCAGGUGGUGCAGAGCGUGCUCGUGCUCACCUAGGACUUGGCCCGUUGAUUUGACGAUUGGGAGGCAAAUCUUGGAGAUGGAACAACGAAGAUGCCCAGCUCCAGCGCAGCGGGGAGGUGAUUGCAUUCUUGCGAUGGAGAGCUGUAGGAAAGUUUGUGGACAGGGAAACAACGGAGAGGGCGCAUGGGAAUACGCCGACCGGGGUUGAGGGGGAGGGUAGGACUAGUUCAAGAACCUUCACCGCAGCAGUAAUGCAAGGAGCCGAGCAAGCAGCGAAAAGGAGCUGGGAUGCGUUCAUUUCAGACUGAACCACUUAUGCUUGUGUUCAUCCCAACCCUUCGUGCUAGAUCGAAUGGCUGACAUAAAACUGCCGUACUGCUCAUUCCAUCGCAACAUCAACAGUCAUUCAAAGAAUGACCAAAAAUAACACAAUCUACAACAUCCCGCUAGUUCAAUUCUAGGUUGUGCCGACUCCACCCAUUGCAAAUGGUGAAACGCUCGGUUACUUUCACACAGUAUAAAAUAAAAUAAAAUACAAGACAUGACAACAGCACAGUGUAACAGUCAUGUCUAAUUAUUUGACGAACUUGUGUCAAGCAGUGAUUAUGGAGAAAACCCUAAGAUGUACAUUACCCAGCAAGUCAUCAUCAAGGAAAUGCUUUUUAAAUCAAACUCUAGCCUGCGUCAAAUUGCCCACAUUCUAUCACAAACUUGAAUUCACGUCAAAUUGCCCACAUUUUAUCAGUAGCUUGCAAGAAUGUGGCAAGCCAACGACAGAAAAACUAACGGGGUGUUUCUGUUGGUAAAGCAGAGAACUGACAGAAAAACUGUAUCAGGGGAUGCUUCUGUUGGUAAAGCAGAAAACUGACUAUGGACAAAAUUCAUGUUACCAUGAAUAUGUGACGACCUCAAGAAGGAUCACGAUGAUGGAAAAGAACGAACUAAAAUUUGCUUCAGGGCCAGUAGAAUGAUUCUAUCAGUAGUUCUUGUAGAGACAUCACAAGACACAUUCACUGUAGAACAUUUCAGCAGAAAGGGCCCUCAGUAGAGCAGCGCAUACUAACAGCACACAGACACACCAGAACAAACAAAGCAACACCUGAACCUGUUCCUUUGAAUGAACUUAAAUCAGAUCACAGAAAUUGAAGGACAGAUUAAAUAAACAAAUAUUCCUGUGGUUAUAAAGUUAUUUAUGAUGAUCCUGUAAUUUCUAGCUAAAACUAAUGAAAACCGAUCAUGUAAGCAGGAAACACAGGAUCCUGAUUGCUAUUAGAAACAAAGAUGGCGAAUUGCAGCUGCCUAUGAAAACAAGAUGAAUCAUCCACUGGGCAAUAGCUUCCACUAGCUUACCAUUUCCAUUACGCAUGUUUAUCUAUGGAUGGCAAAAACUACUCUGUGCCAUCUACUUUAAAUUACUAGCACAUAUUCAUCACAAAACAGCACCUACGGUAAUGAACUAACACACCUAACCUGAGAGCUAACGGAUGGUGAGCGAAACUUCUAUAGGUGCACACAGAUAACCAUAAUAACAACAUUAAUCAGAUCUAAACGAGAAACAAAGAACCAGAUAUUAAACAUAUAAUGAAGUCUUCAUAUCAAAAUCCAAGGCAGACCCAUGAUAGAUGCACAUAAAGGUUCCAAACACUCAUCCAGGGACAUCUUACGAAUGAUAAAGUAGCAGUGCAUAUCCUAACAGAACAGGCGGUGGUAAUAAAACUAGGAUAUCAAGAGCAGUAUGGCAACCGGCAGAUCCCAAAGCUUAAUCGAUCUCCUGGAGCGAGGCACCGGCGGCCGUGGCGCCUCCAGCGGCGGCGGCGACGUCCUCCGCCGUGAACUUGCCCUUGGCCUUGUCAGCAGCGCGGCCGCGAGCCUUGCGGUCGAGGAGCGCCUUGCGGUCCUUGUCGAGCUUGAGCUUGGUGACGAUCACCUUGCUGGGGUGGAUGCCGACGUUCACCGUGGAUCCAUUGACCUUCUCCCUGGUGAUCCGCUCCACGUGGAUGACCCAGCGGCGGCGGUACACCUGCACCACCUUUCCCUCGCGGCCCUUGUAGGUGCCGCGCACGACCUGCACCUCGUCAUCCUUGCGGAUGGGGAUCGAGCGCACAUUGUAUUUGUGCCUGAGCUCGGAGGAGAGGGCCGCGGACAUGAGCACGCGGCGGACGGAGGACGGCGCCGUGAAGUGCGCCUUGCGGCACUUCCGGCGGGAGCUCGUGACGCGGGGGUUGCGCUUCAUGGCGGCGGCGGGGGGUAGGCUCUCUCCCUUACCUGGGGCGACGGCGGCUAGGGUUCUGGGGCGGGAGGAGUGUGUGGAGGCGGCGGGCUGUUGCGGUGGGAGGGGAAUAUAUAGGUGGCAUGCUACUAGGGUUUUAUCUGCGCUCCGUCGCGUGGGCGCGCCAAGGCGUUCGAUGGGGACUGGACGGCGUGGAUUCGUUCGGCGGAAUGGGUGGCUGGGCUAGCUGGGCCGAUGUUACUUGUUUCUCUGGACUAAUUUGAGUACCGCUCUGGGCUUAGAAAACAAGAAGGUCCGACCGAAUGCUGAUCUGCUGGCCCGUGUAAACACUAAAGCCUAGUCGGCUGCGUCGAGGAAAACCGUGAUGUCUCUCUAGCCAAGGCGGGGCUUCCUUUUAUUUUAGCUCCUGCUUUCACAUAUUGUAAUUACUAGCAAACAUGCCCAUACGCUGUAAUGGAAAAAAAAACUUACCUCUCAUACACACUCUCGAGACAUCAAUAAAUCUCUUGGAAUCUUGCACGAUGCCACAUGAAAAACAACAUGAUAAAUAUGAUAAGUGGUGUUGCGCAAAAACAUAGAGAUGUGAUAAUUUUCCAAGUAUACUCAAGGUAUUCCAAUUUAUUAGACAAUAAAAAUAUCUACCUAGCUGCAGGUAUCUCUUUCCGCAUUUGUUGUCGUUCCUCAUCGGUGACGCCCAACAAAUAUUUGCAUUACGAAGAAAAUAGCGAAGUACGUUUUAUUAAUUAAUGAUAGCAUAUGCAUAAGAGCACUAUUUUUGUCUUGUUGGUAUAUGUGUUUGCAUUUGUAAUCCAAGUGAAGUCUUAAUUUGGUUGCAAACAUAUUAGACAGCUCCAUCAAAAACAAUCAAUUUGUAAGGAUAUGCAUACCAAAUGCAACAUCAUUACGAAAAUAAUUUGAAACAAUAUGAAAAUCAAAGUUAAGCCAUUUGUUUACGUCAAGCUUGUAUCAGCAACAUUGUAUAUUUUUUAUACAUCAGAAACAUUUUUUAUAUACAUGUUUAAUAUUUUCCAAUUUCAUGGUCAACCUUUUCCAAAACAUAUUUAGUUUUGGUGUCUACUUUUCAUACACAUUCUACUUUUUUUUAUACAUCAGGAACAUUUUUUAUAUACACGUUUGACAUUGUCUAAAUACAUGAUUAAGGUUUUUGAAAACUUAUAUAUUUUUAUGUCUACUUUGUUACAUACAUAUUAUAUAUUUUUGUAUACAUUUUUCUUGUACAUCGGAAACAUUUUUCUAUGCACAUUUACUAUUUCUUAAAUGCAUGAUAAAAAAAUUCAAUUUUUUUCAUACGCAUUGUACAUUUUUUCUUUAUAACGGAAACUUUUUUCUAUACAAGUUUGACAUUUCUUUAAUGCAUGGUUAACAUUAUUCAAAGUUUGCACAUAAGUGAUUUUUAUAAUUGAAAUAUUUAGAGUAUACCAAAAUAAAACCAAAAGAAAAAACAAAUAUAGCAGAAGUGAAAAAGUAAGAAAAAUAAGUGUUGAAGACCGCGCUGGGCCGGCCCAAUCGGGCAGUUGGCCUACGCCCGUCAGUACUAAGAGAGNNNNNNNNNNNNNNNNNNNNNNNNNNNNNNNNNNNNNNNNNNNNNNNNNNNNNNNNNNNNNNNNNNNNNNNNNNNNNNNNNNNNNNNNNNNNNNNNNNNNNNNNNNNNNNNNNNNNNNNNNNNNNNNNNNNNNNNNNNNNNNNNNNNNNNNNNNNNNNNNNNNNNNNNNNNNNNNNNNNNNNNNNNNNNNNNNNNNNNNNNNNNNNNNNNNNNNNNNNNNNNNNNNNNNNNNNNNNNNAAAGAAACGACCAACUUAUAAAGAAAAAACGAAACAUUUCCCACUUACCGGUGGCAUAGGGGGGUAAUUCAUGCGAACUCUAGAGACAUUUCCACGAGGAUGGCUAGAAGUAGUCCACCCUUUGUUAUUAGGUGGAGAUUGACACUAUUUUUUGCAGGAGGAAGUUCUCAUUUUAUUCAACCUAGAUCACCAUCAUCCAGUGCACCUCCAGGCCUCGUCUCAGCUAUACUGUAGUUUCCAUACACACACACACGACCCAUUCUCGUUAUCUCAUAGCUCACUAGGUUUCUCUCACGUCCGAUAGCUCUAGCCUAAAAAAUCCUCACACCCUCUAGCAUAGAUUUUAUGUCGUUCACUACGCUACCAUUAGGGGAUCGGAUAACAGGGGCAUGCAUGAUCAUGAAAACAUCUUUCGAGCUAUCCGUCUACGGGAUACAAGGUAGUCUACUCCACUACAAUGUGAGGCCAAUGCCUUCCUUGCAGGCUCUCAAUUCAGCAGUUAGGGCAUUGCCACAUGUGAAAAGAGAUGGCGGCAUGAGGAGAAGAUAAUGUGGUUGUCGCUGUCCCGCGGUACCAUGUAAAUGCCACACCAUUGUCAGCCUCCUCCGAGUACGUGUCGUCGAUGUUCAACUUGAGCCAUCCUUCCAAGGGAGGCUCCUAGCAUUUCGGCAGACGAUCUAUUGCGCCCCUCCUUUGUAGCAUGGUUCUGUUCCUAGUCGCAGCCCCGACAUUGGGGUUCUAGAUGACUAGUGUCCUGCGAGUGCACAUGAUUGUUGGAGCACUUUCGUGAUAAGUAAGUGUCAAACCCACAUGAGCUAAUAGGAAGGUACCACAAACCCCGCAACCACGUUGUGACAUAACGCAAUUAUGUAUGCAGCCAAACCGAAGUUUGGAAAAAGCCUAUUCUAGAAGUUGCAACGCCACUGGAUAAAAGGGGUUUACUAAACUAAGAAGGUAAACAAAAAUAAAAGAGACUAAGUUAGUGGUGAUAGUGAUUGAGUAGCGAAGUGUUCUCUAGGACUACGAAGUCGUCACUACAAAUAUGACAUGUGCAUCUAGUGUUGAGCAAACGCUCUUUAUCGUAUCCUCUAUCCACUCUUCAUAUGCAUAAGUGGGCGGUCCCCGGUACAGUACAUGUUCGACUCGAGGUAGACUUCAUGCCACGCAUGCCACCAUCAUAGUCUCCCCCAUAGGGUCACAAUCUAGGAUAAUUAAGGGUUACCCCGUGGACGUGACUAGAUAUGGGUUUACCUGAACUCCCCUAUCAACUUGCAAAGACUAAGGAUUGACGUUUUACUGUCACCUCGAAUUCCCUCAAUGUCCUACCCUAUGCAGUGACAGUAGUUCCUCCAUGGGUGGUUUUGGUAACUAAUAACAACAUAUAUGUCAUUGAACUAAUGCCUAUUCAAAGAUAGAUUUAAGGAAAGUUCAAUAUUGGCAUGGCAUGGAAAGGUGAUUGUGGACCCCUCAAAAUGCUAAGAACAUGGAUUGGCAAAAGCUUCAAGACUACAUUUUUGGUUAAGUGAUCCAAGAUCACACUGAGUCCAUAGGAAAGCCAAUACUAUUAAAAGUGGAUGAGGUUUUGAUCAUGACUCAAUUGCUUAAGUGCUUGAAGAUAUUGCUCCAAAACCCUCAACCAUUUUCUCCAAAUCUUAUUUGUCCAAACCCUAACUUCCAAACUUGGUUCCACCGAAACCUCCACAUCCGGACCCACCAAGUUGAUCCUAGACAGAGACAUAGCCAAACCCUAGCAAAUCGGUGUUGGAAAUAUGCCCUAGAGGCAAUAAUAAAUUGGUUAUUAUCAUAUUUCCCGUUCAUGAUAAAUGUUUGUUAUUCAUGCUAGAAUUGUAUUGACCGAAAACUUGAAUACAUGUGUGUAUACAUAAACUACACCGUGUCCCUAGUAAGCCUCUACCAGACUAGCUCGUUGAUCAAAGAUGGUUAUGGUUCCUAAUCGUAGACAUGAGUUGUCAUUUGAUAAACGGGAUCACAUCAUUAGGAGAAUGAUGUGAUGGUCAAGACCCAAUCAUAAGUUUCAUAAGAUCGUAUCACUUAGUUUUGUUAUAGCUUUCUUCAUGUCAAGUAUCUCUUCCAUCGACCAUGAGAUCAUGCUACUCCCAGAUACCGAAGGAAUGCCUCGUGUGAUAUCAAACAUCACUUUAUAACUGGGUGAUCAUAAAGGUGCUAUACAGGUGUCUCUGAUGGCCUCUGUUGGGAUGCAUGGAUCAAGACUGGGAUUUGUCACUCGGUAUGACAAAGAGAUAUCUCUGGGCCCACUCUAUAAUACAACAUCACAAGAAGCUUCAUAGGACUAAUGAGUUUAGUUACGAGAUCUUGUGUCACAGGAACAAGUAAAUAGAAUUUCCAGUAACGAGAUUAAACUAGGUAUGGAGAUGUCGAUGAUCGAAUCUCGGGCAAUUAACAUAUCGCCGAACAAACAGAAUUGCAUAUGGGAUUACCCGAAUCCUCGACAUCGUGGUUCAACCGAUAAAUAUCUUCGUUGAAUAUGUGGGAACCAAUAUGGUCAUCUAGGUCCCACUAUUGGUUAUUGGCCAGAGAGGAGUCUCAGUCAUAUCUGCAUGAUUCUCGAACCCGUAGGGUUGCAUGCUUAACGUUCGUUGACACUAGAGUAGUAUUUGGGAUAUGUACAAUGGUGACCGAAGAUUGUUUGAAGUCCUGGAUGAGAUCCUGGACGUCACGGGGAGUUCUGAAAUGGUAUGGUGGUAAACAUUUAUAUAUAAGAAGUCAUAUUCAAGGUAUCCGAAAAAAUCGGUGGUAUGCCGACAGUGUACCGGGGGCCACUGAAGGGUUCUGGGUGACCACUAGUGGGUCCCACCACCCCCAAGGGCCACCAUGGGCUGAGGGGUGAUGCCUUGACCUAGAUGGGCAGGUGCACCAGCCCCCUAGAGUCCAUGUGGCUUGGGGGGGAGAGUCCCUGAAGGGGAAUGGAGGAGUCCCAUCUAAUCGCAUGAGAGAGGGACUCCUCCUCCCUGUCCGCACCCCUCCUUGGAGGAGGGGCUAGGGCUGCACCCCUCCCUACCCUUACCCCGACAUAUAAUGGAGGGAGAGGAGGGGAGCUGUACCCUAAACCCUGGCGCAGCCCCUUCCCCUUCCUACCACCAUAUCUCCUCCCGGUACGGCUCGACAAAGACCUGCCAGAGCACCACCACCAUCUCCACCACGCCGUCAUGCUGGUUGAGAUCCCAUGUACUUAUCCCCCUUCUCUUGUUGGAUCAAGGAGGAGGAGACGUCACCGAUCCGCAUGUGUGCUAUACUCGGAGGUGUCGUCCGUUCAGCGCUAGAUCGGUUUGGAUCAUGAUUGAAUCACGAAUAGUACGACUAUAGCGACCGCGUUAUAUAUGCUUCCACUUUCGGUCUACAAUGGUAUGUAGAUACGCUCCCCUCUCGUUGCUUUGCAUCUCCUAGAUUAGAUCUUGGGUGUUUCAUAGGAUCUUUUUUUGAUUUUUCAUGCAAUGUUCCCCAUCAGUGGCAUCAUGAGCUAGGUAUAUGCGUAGAUGUAGAUGCACAAGUAGAACACAAAGUUGGUGUGGGCGUUGGUGUUCAGAUUGCUUACUUCCCUCGUCUUAUCUGGAUUCGGCGAUAUUGUGGGAUGAAGCGGCUUGGACCAACCUUACAUGUCGUCGCACAUGAGACCGGUUUCAUUGCUUGACAUGCAACUAGUAUUACAUAAAAGUGGUUGGCGGGUGACUGUCUCUCCUACGUUAGUUGAAUCCGAUUUGACAAAGGCGGUCCUUGUAGAAGGUUAAAAGGCAACUUGAAUAUCACCGUUGUUGUUUUGCGUACAUAAGAAUGGUUCUUAUAGUUUGCCCUAGCAGCCACGUAAAAAUUGCAACAACAAAAUAGUGGACGUCUAAUUUGUUUCUGUAGGGCAUGUUGUGAUGUGGUAUGAUCUAAAUGUGAUGUCAUAUAUGUUGAUGUAUGAGAUGAUCAUGUUUUGUAAUAGGUUCUUGACUUGCAAGUCGAUAAGUACGGCAACUGGCAGGAGUGCCAUGUAAUUGCUUUACUUUGUUGCUAUGUGUUAAUAAUAGUUGUAGAAGCAAUAGAUGGCGAAGACAACCAUGAUGACGACAUGAUGAUGGAGAUCAUGGUGUCAUGCCAGUGACAAUGGAGAUCAUGCCGGUGCUUAGGAGAUGGAGAUCGAAAGCACGAGAUGACAAUGGCCAUAUCAUGUCACAUAUAUUGAUUACAUGUGAUGUUUAUCCUUUUAUGCAUCUUAUUUUGCUUAGGAUGGCGGUAGCAUUAUAAGAUGAUCCCUUCACUAAAAUUUCAAGAUAAAAGUGUGUAGGAUCAAAAGUAUGUCUAGAGAGGGGGUGAUUAGACUACUUGACCAAAUAAAAAUCUAGCCUUUUCCCAAAUUUAAGUCUUGGCAGAUUUUAGCAACUUAGCACAAGUCAAGCAAUCAACCUACACAUGCAAUUCUAAGAGUGUGGCGGUGGAAUGUAAAACAUUGCAUAUGAAGCUAGGGAAGGGUUUGGAGAGGGCAAACACAAUGUAGACACGGCGAUUUUUUGCGUGGUUCCGAUAGGUGGUGCUAUCGUACAUCCAUGUUUGAUGGAGACUUCAACCCACGAAGGGUAACGGUUGCGCGAGUCCAUAGAGGGCUCCACCCACGAAGGGUCCAUGAAGAAGCAACCUUGUCUAUCCCACCAUGGCCAUCGCCCAUGAAGGACUUGCCUCACUCGGGUAGAUCUUCACAAAGUAGGCGAUCUCCUUGCCCUUACAAUCUCCUUGGGUCAACUCCACAAUCUUGACAGAGGCUCCCAAGUGACACCUAACCAAUCUAGGAGACACCACUCUCCAAAAGGUAAUAGAUGGUGUGUUGAUGAUGAACUCCUUGCUCUUAUGCUUCAAAUGAUAGUUCCCCAACACUCAACUCUCUCUCACAGAUUUGGAUAUGGUGGAAAGAUGAUUUGAGUGGAAAGCAACUUGGGGAAGGAUGGAGAUCAAGAUUCUUGUGGUUGGAUUGGAAUGUCUUGGUCUCAACACAUGAGUAGGUGGUUCUCUCUCAGAAAAUGAGUAGUGGAAGUGUAGGCAUGUUCUGAUGGCUCUCUCACAAAUGGAUAAGGGGUUGAGGGGUAUAUAUAGCCUUCAUACAAAAUCUAACCGUUACACACAUUUUACCAAACUCGGUCAGACCGAAUAGUGAAACUCGAUGAGACCGAUUCAGUUUGUUAGGCUUUUUGGUGGAACCGACGAUAUCAACUCAGUGGGACCAAUGCACUAGGGCCAGGGCAAAACCUCAUCUUGGUGAGACCGAUCGCAUGAGCUCGGUGAGACCGAUUUCAGCAAUAAGCAAAUAGAGGCUUGGUCAAGCAAACUCGGUGGGACCGAUCGCUCAUUUCGGUGAGGCCAAAACGUUACGAAAAGGAAACAGAGAGUUUGCAUUGCAAACUUGGUGGGACCGAUCACUCAUUUCGGUAAGACUGAAACCUUAUGAAGGGAAACAGAGAGUUUGCAAUCCCAUCUCGGUGAGACCGAUAUCCCUAUCGGUGAGACCGAACUGAUUAGGAUUUCUGGCUAUGGCUAUGUCAAGAGAACUCGGUGGCGCCAGAUAAAUCAAAUCGGUGGGGCCAAGUUUGACUUUUAGGUUUAGGACAUAUUUGGAUUUGAGAAAGUGGUUGAGGGCUUUGGAGCAUAUCACUAAGCAUUUUGAGAAAGCAAGUCAUUAAGCAACACCUCAUCCCCUUUUUAUAGUAUUGACUUUUCCUAUGGACUCAAUGUGAUAUUGGAUCACUAAAAUAGAAAUGAAGAGUCUUGAGCUUUUGCCAAUAUGUGUCCUUAGCAUUUUGAGGGCUCCACAUCUCUAGUCCAUGCCAUGCUAAUAAUUGAACUUUUUGAAACAUUUAACUUGAAUGGAUAUUAGUUCAAUGAGCUAUAUGUUGUUAUGAAUUACCAAAAGCACCUGGGGAUUAGCUGUACUUUCAAUCUCCCCCUUUUUGGUAACUAAUGAUAACAUAUAGAUCAAAGCUUCGACAAAUGAUAAUAUAAAUGAAGUACAUCGUCGCUUUGAGAAGUAUGUGAUAAGCAAGAGCUCCCCCUAAAUUUGUGCAUUAUUCAAAAUUUGCUUUUGAAUGCAAAUGCACAAUCGAUUAGGAUCAUGGGUUACUCUUCCAUGUCACAUAUAUCUUGGUGGAGCGCUCAAAAUGAUAGAAUAUAAGUAGCAUGCACUCAUCACCAAGGCAAAACAUGAAUGAUCAUACACAAGUGAUAAGAUAUCAUCGUCCAAGCACACAUUAAAGCAUAAUAUGAUCAAACACAUGACCAUAGAAGUAUCUCACACACAAGCAAAAAUAAAUUGUAGCAACCAAACAAGCAAAUAAAGUAGCAAGAGAGGAAAAUAAAAGCAAAACACACACUCUCUCUCGAAGCCUAUGAUCUAUACACUUUCUCCCCUUUUGGCAACAAGUUACCAAAAAGCUCGAAAAUGCAUAGUGCUAUGCGGCACUUGAUAUGUCUCCAACAUAUCUAUAAUUUUUUAUUGUUCCAUGCUAUUAUAUUAUCUGUUUUGGAUGUUUAAUAGGCAUUUAUAUGCUAUUUUAUAUUAUUUUUGGGACUAACCUAUUAACCGAGGGCCGAGUGCCAGUUUCUGUUUUUUGUCUAUUUUAGAGUUUCGCAGAAAAGGAAUACCAAACAAAGUCCAAACGGAAUGAAACCUUCACGAUGAUCUUUCUUGGACCAAAAGGAAACCAGAAUAUUUGGAGAUGAAGUCGGAGACGCAACGAGGUGGCCACGAGGCAGGAGGGCGCGCCUCCUACCUCGUGGGCCCCUUGUAGCUCCCCUGACCUACUUCAUUCGCCUAUAUAUACUCUUAUACCCUAAAACAUCCAAGGGAGCCACAAAACCACUUUUCCACCACCGCAACCUUCUCUACCCGUGAGAUCCCAUCUAGGGGCCUUUUCCGGCAUCCUGUCGGAGGGGGAUUCGAUCAUGGAGGGCUUCUACAUCAACACGAUUACCUCUUUGAUGAAGCGUGAGUAGUUUACCACAGACCUACGGGUCCAUAGUUAUUAGCUAGAUGGCUUCUUCUCUCUCUCUUUGAUUCUCAAUACCGUGUUCUCCUCGAUGUUCUUGGAGAUCUAUUCGAUGUAAUAUUCUUUUGCGGUGUGUUUGCCGAGAUCCAAUGAAUUGUGGAUUUAUGAUCAGAUUAUCUAUGAAUAUUAUUUGGUUCUUCUCUGAAUUCUUAUAUGCAUGAUUUGAUAGCUUUGCAAGUCUCUUCGGAUUAUCGGUUUAGUUUGGCCCACUAGAUUGAUCUUUCUUCCAAUGGGAGAAGUGCUUAGCUUUCGGUUUAAUCUUGUGGUGUCCUUUCCCAGUGACAGUAGGGGCAGCAAGGCGCGUAUUGUAUUGUUGCCAUUGAGGAUAAAAAGAUGGGUUUUUCAUCAUAUUGCUUGAGUUAAUUCCUCUACAUCAUCUCAUCUUUUUUAAUGCGUUACUCUGUUAUUUAUGAACUAAAUACUCUAGAUGCAUGCUGGAUAGCGAUCGAUGUGUGGAGUAAUAGUAGUAGAUGCAGAAUUGUUUCGGUGUACUUGACACAGACGUGAUGCCUAUGUUCAUGAUCAUUGCCUUAGAUAUCAUCAUAACUAUGCACUUUUCUAUUAAUUGCUUGGCAGUAAUUUGUUCGCCCACCGUAAUAUUUGCUAUCUUGAGAGAAGCCACUACUGAAACCUAUGGCCCCCGGGUCUCUUUUCAAUUAUAUUGAAUCUCUUUUACAUCUUACUAGUUUCCGAUCUACUAUUUUGCAAUCUUUUACUUUCUGGUCUAUAAACCAAAAAUACCAAAAAUAUUUACUUUACCAUUUAUCUAUCUCUAUCAGAUCUCACUUUUGCAAGUGACUGUGAAGGGAUUGACAACCCCUUUAUCGCGUUGGGUGCAAGUUGUUGAUUGUUUGUGCAGGUAUUUGGUGACUUGUGCGUUGUCUCCUACUGGAUUGAUACCUUGGUUCUCAAAACUGGGGGAAAUACUUACACUACUUUGCUGCAUCACCCUUUCCUCUUCAAGGGAAAACCAACGCAAGCUCAAGUGGUAGCAAGAAGGAUUUCUGGCGCCGUUUCCGUUGCCGGGGAGAUCUACAUCAAGUCAAGCAAUACCAAGUACCCAUCAUAAACUCUUCUCCCUUGCAUUACAUUAUUCGCCAUUCACCUCUCAUUUUCCUCUCCCCCACUUCUAAAAUGAUUUUCGAAAAGAUUUGCAUUUUCUUUGCCUUCCUCCCGUAUGUAUUUUUGUUUGUGUUUCCAUGUGCCUUCUAUUUGCUUGCAUCUUUGCUUGCUAAAAAUAUAUUUAUAUGGAUCCACUUAAAAUGUUCUACUUCGAUCAUCUUCGAUCUAUAUGUGCUCAUGUUGAAACCCCAACUAGUUUAGUUCAGGGAAAAUCUUUAGAUAAGCAUGCUCAUUUUGUGUGUCACCGUUUGUCUGAAAAAGGAAGACUCUUAUGGAAUCAAAUAAACAGUUUGCUGUGUUAUGCUUGGAAUCUUUGUGAAAUUUAUGAUUUUACUUGUUGCUCUAAGAACCCUAAAAACACCUUCCCUACCUAUGUGAGUUUAAUGAUAAUGAAAUCUUAUCUUCUUAUGCAAAGGGUGUUUAUAGUUACUAUGAUAUCGAACAAAUUGAAGAAUUUGUUGCUUUUAAGGGUGCUUAUGAAGUUGCUUCUUUGAUUGAAAAGUAUGACAUUACUCUCUACAAAUCUGAAAUUUUUGACAUACUUAAAUAUUGCUAUGAAAACUAUGCUCAUAAUGUCUAUGUCAAAGAAUUUAUUGAGAGAAGGACCAUUGCUUUGGAAGAAAAUAAUAAUUAUGAUUCCGAUGAUUUGAUUGAAAUAUCCCUUGAUGAACAUGACGCUUGCUAUUCUUGUGGUCAUGAUGCCAAUAUUUAUGGAGAUGAAUUUGCUAUAGUCCCUUAUGUUAAACAUGAGAUUGUUGCUAUUGCACCCAUACUUGAUAGUUCCUUCGAUGAAAAGCAUGAUUGCAAUGAUGUUAUUAGAAAUUCUAUUAAUGUCAAUUGUGCUAGUAAUAUGCAAAACCCUAAGCUUGGGAAUGCUAGUUUUGCUAUGUCUACUGUUUGUUGCAAUGAUCAUGAUUGGGGUGAUUCCUUUAUGAUCUUGAAAAUUUCUUCAAGCCCCAUGAUGAAUAUGAGAUUGGUAAUAAUGUUUGCUAUAAUAUUGAAAGUGGGUUUGGAAGAGUGUCAACUUUAUAUACAACAUAUUUGGAGAAUGUUCAAUCUUAUGAAAAUUUUGAGAAAAGUGGGUUUGGAGAGGUCAUGACUUUAGUUAAUGUUAAUCCCACUAUUUUGGAAGAGUGUCAACUUCGCAUGCAUGUGGAUCAUGUUGAGAAUAUGUCUUGUGAUAGCUAUAUUGUUGAAUUUGCUUAUGAUCCUACAUGUAAUUAUUAUGAGAGAGCAAAAUAUGCUUGUAGAAAUUUUCAUGUUACUAAAUUACCUCUCUUCAUGUUGAGAUUGUUAUCGUCUCUUUCUUCUUCCUUGCAUAUGCUAGUUUUUGCUUGCCUUGAUAAUUUGUUUGCUUAUAAAAUGCAUAUGCAUAGGAAGUAUGUUAGACUUAGAUGUGUUUGUCACGUGUUUUAUGAUGCUCUCUUUGUGUUUCAAUUCUUCUAUGUGAGCAUCAUUGAAAUUAUCAAUGCCUAGCUAAGGGCGUUAAACAAUAGCGCUUGUUGGGAGGCAACCCAAUUUUAUUUUUGUUCUUUGCGUUUUGUUCCUGUUUAGUAAGAAAUAAUUCAUCUAGCCUCUGGUUAGAUGUGGUUUUAUGUUUUAAUUAGGGUUUGUGCCAAGUAGAACCUUUGGGAAGACUUGGGUGAAAGUUAAUUUGAUCUUGCUGAAAAACAGAAACUUUUGUGCUCACAAGAUUAUUUGUCAUUUUUAACAGAAGAGUGAUUUUGAGUUGAUUAUUUUUGCAAAAUAUUAAUAGAAAAAUUCCUCACGUCCACCAAUUUAUUUCAGAAUUUUUGGAGUUACAGAAGUAUUCAAAAUAUUCAGAUUACUACAGACUGUUCUGUUUUUGACAAAUUCUGUUUUUCGCAUGUUGUUUGCUUAUUUUGAUGAAUCUAUGGGUAGUAUCGGGGGGUAUGAACCAUGGAGAAGUUGGAAUACAAUAUAUAUUACACAAAUAUAAAUAAAGAAUGAGUUUUCAACACUACCUUAAAGUGGUGAUUUAUUUUCUUAUACUAAGGGAGCUCAUGAGAUUUUCUGUCGAGUUUUGUGUUGUGAAGUUUUCAAGUUUCGGGUAAGGAUUUGAUGGACUAUGGAAUAAGGAGUGACAAUAGCCUAAGCUUGGGGAUUCCCAAGGCACCCCAAGGUAAUAUUAAAGGACAACCAAAAGCCUAAGCUUGGGGAUGCCCUGUACGGCAUCCCCUCUUUCGUCUUCGUUUAUCGGUAACUUUACUUGAAGCUAUAUUUUUAUUCACCACAUGAUAUGUGUUUUGCUUGGAGCGUCUUGUAUGAUUUGAGUCUUUGCUUUUUUGUUUACCACAAUUAUCCUUGCUGUACACACCUUUUGGGAGAGACACGCAUGAAUCGUGAUUUAUUAGAAUACUCUAUAUCCUUCACUUAUAUCUUUUGAGCUAGACAAUAUUGCUCUAGUGCUUCACUUAUAUCUUUGUAGAGCACGGUGGUGGAUUUACUUUAUAGAGAUUGUUGAACUCUCAUGCUUCACUUAUAUUAUUUUGAGAGUAUUUUAGAACAGCAUGGCAAUUUUCUUGGGUUAUAAAACUAGUCCUAAUAUGAUGGGCAUCCAAGAUGGAUAUAAUAAAAACUUUCAUAUAAAGUGCAUUGAAUACUAUGAGAAGUUUGAUUCUUUAUGAUUAUUUUGAGAUAUGAAGAUGGUGAUAUUAGAGUUUGGAGUAGUCGUGAAUUUGAGAGAUACUUGUGUUAAAGUUUGUGAUUCCCAUAGCAUGCAUGUAUGGUGAACCGUUAUGUGAUGAAGUUGGAGCACGAUUUAUUUAUUGAUUGUCAUCCUUAUGAGUGGAGGUCGGGAUCACGCGAUGGUUAACUCCUACCAACCCUUACCCUAGGAGCAUGCGUGCAGUACUUUGUUUUGAUGACUUGUAGAUUUUUGCAAUAAGUAUGUGAGUUCUUUAUGACUAAUGUUGAGUCCAUGGAUUAUAUGCACUCCCACCCUUCCACCAUUGCUAGCCUCUCUUGUGCCGCGCAAAUUUCAUCGGUACCGUACACCCACCAUUACCUUCCUCAAAAUAGCCACCAUACCUACCUAUUAUGGCAUUUCCAUAGCCAUUCCGAGAUAUAUUGCCAUGCAACUUUCCACCGUUUCAUUUAUUAUGACACGCUUCAUCAUUGUCAUAUUGCUUUGCAUGAUCAUGUAGUUGAUAUCGUAUUUGUGGCAAAGCCACCAUUCAUAAUUCUUUCAUACAUGUCACUCUUGAAUCAUUGCACAUCCCGGUACACCGCCAGAGGCAUUCACAUAGAGUCAUAUUUUGUUCUAAGUUUUGAGUUGUAAGUAAAUAAAAGUGUGAUGAUCUUCAUUAUUAGAGCAUUGUCCCAUGUGAGGAAAGGAUGAUGUAGAGUAUGAUUCCCCCACAAGUCGGGAUGAGACUCCGAACGGAAAAAAAGAAAAGAAAAAAAGAGGCCAUAAAAAAGAGAAGGCCCAAAUAAAAAAAUAAAAAAAAUCAGAGAAAAAGAGAGAAGGGACAAUGUUACUAUCCUUUUUCCACACUUGUGCUUCAAAGUAGCACCGUGAUCUUCAUGAUAGAGAGUCUCCUAUUUUGUCACUUUCAUAUACAGUGGAAAUUUUCAUUAUAGAACUUGGCUUGUAUAUUCCAAUGAUGGGCUUCCUCAAAACGCCCUAGGUCUUCAUGAGCAAGCGAGUUGGAUGCACACCCACUUAGUUUCUUUUUGAGCUUUCAUACACUUAUAGCUCUAGUGCAUCCGUUGCAUGGCAAUCCCUACUCACUCACAUUGAUAUCUAUUGAUGGGCAUCUCCAUAGACCGUUGACACGCCUAGUUGAUGUGAGACUAUCUUCUCCUUUUUGUCUUCUCCACAACCACCAUUCUAUUCCACCUAUAGUGCUAUGUCCAUGGCUCACGCUCAUGUAUUGCAUGAAAGUUGAAAAAGUUUAAAAAUACUAAAGUAUGAAACAAUUGCUUGGCUGAAACCAGGGUUGUGCAUGAUUUAAAUAUUUUGUGUGAUGAAGAUAGAGCAUAGCCAGACUAUAUGAUUUUGUAGGGAUAGCUUUCUUUGGCCAUGUUAUUUUGAGAAGACAUGAUUGCUUUGUUAGUAUGCUUGAAGUAUUAUUAUUUUUAUGUCAAUAUUAAACUUUUGUUUUGAAUAUUUUGACUUUCGGAUCUGAACAUUCAUGCCACAAUAAAGAAAUUUACAUGGAUAAAUAUGUUAGGUGGCAUUCCACAUCAAAAAUUCUGUUUUUAUCAUUUACCUACUCGAGGACGAGCACGAAUUAAGCUUGGGGAUGCUUGAUAUGUCUCCAACGCAUCUAUAAUUUUUUUAUUGCUCCAUGCUAUUAUAUUAUAUGAUUUGGAUGUUUAAUAGGCAUUUAUAUGCUAUUUUAUAUUAUUUUUGGGACUAAUCUAUUAACCGAGGGCCCAAUGCGAGUUUUUGUUUUUCUACCUAUUUUAGAGUUUCGCAGAAAAGGAAUACCAAACGAAGUCCAAACGGAAUGAAACCUUCGCGAUGAUCUUUCUUGGACCGAAAGGAAACUAGAAGACUUGGAGUUGAAGUCGGAAACGCAACGAGGCGGCCACGAGGCAGGAGGGCGCGCCCCCUACCUCGUGGGCCCCUCGUAGCUCCCCUGACCUAGUUCCUUCGCCUAUAUAUACUCUUAUACCCUGAAAACAUCCAGGGGAGCCACGAAACCACUUUUUCACCGCCGCAACCUUCUCUACCCGUGAGAUACCAUCUAGGGGCCUUUUCCGGCAUCCUGUCGGAGGGGGAUUCGAUCAUGGAGCACUACAAAAAAAUACACUUGCGUGAUGAUACAUGUUUGUCACAGUAGGUCGCAUUUUUUGUCAUGCAUGUACAUCCAUGACGAUUUUAUGACAGAAUUAAGAUAGUCAUACCUAUGUUGUCAUAGAAGUGUUCCACGACAUUACCAAAAUUAUCAUCACGGAAGUGUCCACUUCCAUGACGAUAAAUUGCGCGUCACAGAAGUGCUUUCGUCAAGGGUGACCGACACGUGGCAUCCACCGUAACGGAACACCGUUAAGCUAUCGGGUCCGGUUUUGGAUCCGAUAUCCCGUUAACAGCCCCAAUCAGUGGGGAUUUUCCACGUGUAAAAUCAUCAUUGGCUGGAGGAAACACGUGUCGGCUCAUCGUUGGGACAGAUGUCAUCCACUCAUUGGACCCAAGGCGCCUAUGAUACGUUAACACGUGGCACGGCCCAAUAGAGGCCCAUUCCCGUGAAAAGGCCGACCCGUUUGACUUGGUCAAAAGGUGGUGAGCCAGCCCACGGAAAGCCUAUUAACGGCAUGUUCGCAUAUAGCCCAUUUACAACCCGCUAACUCACGGCCCGUUACAGCCUACCGGAAUUACGCCCAGUAGCGUCAUCUGGGCCGUCCAAUAUGAUUCCAGCCCAUUGUAACUUCCGGCCCAUGUAUGGCCCAUGACGUCUUUUGGCCCAUAUGAGUACCUUUGUAACUCUUGGCCCAUUAACAACCCGUGGUGAAAUCGACCCGUAAUGAAUAGUGUAUCGCUUUAUACCCAUUAGCGGCCCAUUCAUUGGGUCGUUUCCAGCCCGUGUUACCUUUCGGCUUUCUCAGGGCCCAUUUAUUCUUGAACUCAUUUACAACAUUCAGUUACUUACGGCCCGUUACUGGCCUUUUCUGCUUGUGGGCCAAAUUCAGCCCGUGGAUACAGUCGACCCGUUUGUGGCCCGUUAAUCUGUUGGGCCAUUUUCAUAGCAUCAUCAAAUACGGCCUAUUAAUGGCCCAUUAUGGUUAGCCGAUAAAACAUACGAUUUCCAGUCUAGCCCGUUUACGGCCCAUUAUAUGGCCCGUACAAGGUCCAUAGAUGAGACGGCCCGUAGAAGGCCCAUGGAUCCUACGGGACGUAGAAGGCCCAUUGAUCCUGUCGGAUUUCGGGUUCCGGCAGACCCUUGAGGUUCGAACUCUGGCGUGCGCGCGGAGAUCUCUCCCCUACCAACCUACGUCCCAAAGCCUCGCUAAGAAUCUAGGCUAGCAAGAUAAUCAACACAAGGGACACGGAGUUUAUACUAGUUCAGGCCACCAUUGUGGUGUAAUACCCUACUCCAGUGUGUGGUGUGUGGAUUGCCUUAAGGGCUGAUGAUGAACAAUACAAGGGAGGAACAACCUCGCGAGGGGUGUUCUUGUGCUGGUGUGGGUGGUUCUGCCUAAGGUUCGAUUGCUCAAUCCCCUGCCUUGAGAAUGGCUAGUCCUAUUUAUAGAGGCCUUGGUCCUCUUCCCAAAUAUUGAGCGGGAAGGGCGCCAACAACGGCCAUUUUGAAGGGGAACAUCUAGUACAGCUUAUCCUGACUAAAGUUGGUCUUCGACUGCCAAAGGCCCUGAGGAUGACGCCGUCUUCGGCUCCACGAUGACCUCCAUCCUGCCGCUCUACUGGUCUUGGUCUUGUUACACCGAAACGGUAGCCUUUGCCUGAUGCCUUGGUCUGAGCUUGCUCCCUUUGCACCAAAGAGGAAACAAGGACAGUGCGCAGGCCGGCGCCCGUCUGGCGCCCGCCUGGUCUCGAUCGUCAUGGCUUGCAUCAUGUGCACCUCGUGAGGUACCCUCGCCUUGAUCUCUCUGCCUCCUCGCGAGCCUGCCUGGCGAGGCCGCUCCCGAGGAAGCUUCCUGUCGUCCUCCCCGCGAGGCUUGGCCCCUUGCGGGGGUCUUGAGCUUGAGUCGAUGAAGAUGGGCCGCAUCGGGCCACCACUUGAGCCACGUCGUAGACUGCAUGCAGGCAAGUCUGGGGACCCCCGUUCCCAGAACACCGACAGUAGCCCUCGGGCCCAAGGCGCGCUUGGACUUGGCUUAGCGGAGAAGCGAAGGGGUAAGUGCGAAGCACCGCGGGCCCCAACAGCUUGUGGCCUUGGGUGCCACGUGGCGGUUGAUUGGACGUGGGCGUCUCCGCUUCCCCACGCCGCCUCGGCAACCGUUCGACAUGACAAAAGGGCUGGUCCGGUUCAGGAUUGCCUUCAUUGCUCCCAUUCAUCUUGCUUCAGAUCCCCUUUCUUGCCCUUCACCUCCCCACUUCUGGAAUCCUCUAGAUCUGCAUCAAUCUCUCACCUUCGACGAGCAAUGGCGCCAAUUCGCCGGUUCUUCGCCGAAGAGAAGGGGAAGGCCCCCGAGAGAGGCCCGUCCCACUUCCACUGAAGAAGCGGCCAGUCCCCUGUUGCCAUGAUGAGGGUGCUCGAGACAUCGAGGCCUUGGUAUGAGUGGCCACCGCCGGGGUUUCCGCUACCCUUGUACGCCCGAGCCAGGGGUUCUAGAGAAGGAGACACCGAGCGGCGCCGCCAGCGCCGUCGGCAACGCUGACGAGUCACAGCGGUGCGUGUCGUUGCCCCCCGGGGUCCAUGCUAAGGGCUCUUCCCACGAGCUGGUGCUUCACGCCGCCAUGCCCCCGUGCUCUUGGAUUUGCCUUCCUCCCUCCUUCGCCUUCGAGAUACCACCGAGGGGGCCUCGGGAGCUCUGGCUAGGGCAAGCUCGCCUGCCGAGACUACACCUUCGUCUGUGGGAAAAGGAGGCAGCAAGGCUCGUGCCUCCCCGCCCGGUCAUCCUCACGAGGUCAGGAGGGGCGUACUGGCGUGGAUCCAGCCCCCGUGGUCUUGGUGACUCCGAAGGCAUCCGUGCUAGACGCUGUCAUCGAGGUCGCCGAGGUCCCGAAGGCCCCAACACCCGACGCUGUGAUCAUGCUGCCGUCUUCGCCUCCUACUCCACUGGUUGCCGUCUCUACGGCCCCUUCCACCGUCUUGGAUCGUGCUGCUGCCGAGCUAGGUCGACUGCGAGAAGAUCUCCAAGGCGCCGACCCCCGCCUGGUGGUCGGGCGCCUGGAGUUGGUCUGUGUCUGGGUCCACUCCGAUGCCUCUGUCCGAGCGGCGCUGAGCCAGGCUGUGUCGGCCCUCGAGGAGGAGAAACAAGCCACCUCCCAAGCCAAGGCCGCUCGCGACGCAACUUUGGGUGAUGCCACGGAUGUCCAGAGCUGCUGCAAGGUGCUGGGGGACGAGCUGCAAGGCCUGCGCGACGAGCUUGCCAAGGAGGUCCGGGGUCGCCAGAAGAAGGAGGAGGAGAUGACGGCUCGGGAGGCCGCCGUCAGGGAUCGCGACGCUGAGCUUUUGGCCGACCGCGAUCGGCUGGAGACGCUGAAGCAGGCGCUGAAGUUGGAGGGAGUUGAGUUGGACGCCAAGGCGAAGGUCUUGGCUGAGGAUCAGGUGGCCUUCGCGAAGAUGGAGGAGAAGGCUCGCAUCGCGCUGAAGAUGCUUUACGACGGCGGCUUAGAGAAGCCGUUGGCUGGCGCGGAGGACGGACCCGCCAAGCUGCUUCCCUUCUUGGUCCAGACGCUUGAAGAUGUCACGGACGGAUGAUACGUCCAUUUUGCAUCAUGCUUUUAUGACAAUAUUUAUUGCAUUAUGGGAUGUUAUUUCACGUUAUGUCACGAUACUUAUGGCCAUUAUCUCUUAUUUUACAAGGUUUGCAUGAAGAGGGAGAAUGCCGGCAGCUGGAAUUCUGGGCUAGAAAAGGAGCAAAUAUUGGAGGCCUAUUCUACGCAACUCCAGAAGUCCUGAAACUCCACGGAAUAUUUUGAAAUAAAUAAAGAAAAAUCGUCGCCAAAUAUGAAGGCCAGGGGGCCCACACCCUGCUCACGAGGGUGGGAGGCGCCCCCCUGGGCGCGCCCCCCUACCUCAUGGGCCCCUGGUGGCUCUCCGACGCCCAUCUUCUCCUACAUGAAGUCUUUCGAUGAGAAAAAAUUAAGAGAGAACCUUUCGGGAUGAGACUCCGCCGCCACGAGGCGGAACCUUGGCGGAACCAAUCUAGGGCUCUGGCAGAGCUGUUCUGCCGGGGACACUUCCCUCCGGGAGGGGGAAAUCAUCACCAUCGUCAUUACCAACGCUCCUCUCAUCGGGAGAGGGCAAUCUCCAUCAACAUCUUCACCAGCACCAUCUCAUCUCUAAACCCUAGUUCCUCUCUUGUAUCCAAUUCUUGUCUCCAAGUCCGGGAUUGGUGCUAGUAGGUUGCUAGUAGUGUUGAUUACUCCUUGUAGUUGAUGCUAGUUGGUUUAUUUGGUGGAAGAUCAUAUGUUCAGAUCCUUUAUGCAUAUUAUUACCCCUCUGAUUAUGAACAUGAAUAUGCUUUGUGAGUAAUUAUGUUUGUUCCUGAGGACAAGGGAUAAGUCUUGCUAUUAGUAGUCAUGUGAAUUUGGUAUUCGUUCGAUAUUUUGAUGAGAUGUAUGUUGUCUAACCUCUAGUGGUGUUAUGUGAACAUCGACUACAUAACACUUCACCAUUAUUUGGGCCUAAAGGAAGGCAUUGGGAAGUAAUAAGUAGAUGAUGGGUUGCUAGAGUGAUAGAAGCUUAAACCCUAGUUUAUGCGUUGCUUCAUAAGGGGCUGAUUUGGAUCCAUAUGUUUCAUGCUAUGGUUAGGUUUACCUUAAUACUUUUGUUGUAGUUGCGGAUGCUUGCAAUAGGGGUUAAUCAUAAGUGGGAUGCUUGUCCAAGUAAGGGCAGUACCCAAGCACCGGCCCACCCACAUAUCAAAUUAUCAAAGUACCGAACGCGAAUCAUAUGAGCGUGAUGAAAACUAGCUUGACGAUAUUCCCAUGUGUCCUCGGGAGCACCUUUUCCUAUUAUAAGAGUUUGUCCAGGCUUGUCCUUCGCUACAAAAAGGAUUGGGCCACCUUGCUGCACCUUGUUUACUUUUGUUACUUGUUGCUCGUUACAAUUUAUCUUAUCACAAAACUAUCUUUUACCACUUAUUUCAGUACUUGCAGAGAAUACCUUGCUUAAAACCGCUUAUCAUUUCCUUCUGCUCCUCGUUGGGUUCAACACUCUUACUUAUCGAAAGGACUAUGAUAGAUCCCCUAUACUUGUGGGUCAUCAAGACUCUUUUCUGGCGCCGUUGCCAGGGAGUGAAGCGCCUUUGGUAGGUGGAAUUUGGUACGGAAAAAUUUAUUUAGUGUGCUGAAAUUUUUUGUCACUUGUUACUAUGGAAAGUAACUGUCUGAGGGGCUUGUUCGAGGUAUCUUCACCCCGUCCAGUAGAGCAAAGAGUUGCUCCUCAACCUACUCAACCUACUGAACCUAUUGAAAAUGAAACUCCUUUUGAGAUUCCUUCGGGUUUGAUGGAAAAACUGCUAGCUAACACUUUUACAGGAGAUGGAACAAAGCAUCCUGAUGAACAUCUACGUUAUGUGGAUGAUGUUUGUGGACUAUUUAAGCUUGCAGGUAUACCCGAUGAUGCUAUUAAGAAGAGGGUUUUCCUUUAUCUUUGAAGGGAGACGCAUUGACAUGAUAUAGGCUAUGUGAUGAUACGAGAUCAUGGAACUAUAAAAGAUUGAAAUUGGAAUUUCAUCAAAAGUAUUACCCUAUGCAUCUUGUUCAUUGUGAUCGCAAUUAUAUAUGCAAUUUUUGGCCUCGCGAAGGAGAAAGCAUCGCUCAAGCUUGGGGGAGGCUUAAAUCAAUGUUAUAUUCAUGCCCCAAUCAUGAGCUCGCAAGAGGAGUAAUUAUGCAAAAAAAUUAUGCUCGGCUUUCUGAUAACAAUCGCACCAUGCUCGAUACUUCUUGUGCUGGCUCUUUUAUGAUGAAGACUAUUGAAUUCAGAUGGAAUUUAUUGGAUAGAAUUAAACACAACUCUAAAGAUUGGGACCUCGACAAAGGUAAGGAGUCAGGUAUGACACCUAAGUUUGAUUGUGUUAAAUCUUUUAUGGAUACCAAUAUUUUCCGUAAGUUUAACACUAAAUAUGGACUUGACUCUGAGAUAGUAGCUUCUUUCUGUGAAUCUUUUGCUACUUAUGUUGAUCUCCCCAAGGAGAAGUGGUUUAAAUAUCAUCCUCCCAUAGAAGUGAAAGUAGCUGCACCUAUUAAAGUUGAAGAAAAGAUUGUCACUUAUAAUGAUCCUAUUGUUCCCACUUCUUAUGUUGAGAAACCACCUUUCCUUAUUAGAAUGAAGGAUCAUGCUAAAGCUUCAACUGUUGUUCGUAAAAGCAAUAUUAGAACUUAUACACCUCCUGAACAAGUCAAAGUAGAACCUAAUAUUGCUAUUGUUAAAGAUCUCUUGUCUCAUAAUAUCGAUGUGCAUGUUAUUCAAUUCCAGGGUGAGACUGCUAGAAUUGCUAAACCUUGUGAUAAAGAUAAACAUAGACCUAUGGUAGGCAUGCCUGUUAUUUCUGUUAAAAUACGAGAUCAUUAUUAUCAUGGCUUGUGUGAUAUGGGUGCUAGUGCUAGUGUUAUACCCAUGGAUUUAUACAAAGAAAUUAUGCAUGAUAUUGCACCUGCUGAGUUAGAAGGUAUUGAUGUUACAAUCAAACUUGCCAAUAGAGAUACUAUUUCUCCAGUGGGAAUUGUUAGAGAUGUUGAAGUCUUGUGUGGGAAAACCAAAUAUCCGGCUGAUUUUCUUGUUCUUGGUUCUCCAGAAGAUAGCUUCUGUCCCAUUAUAUUUGGUAGACCCUUCUUGAAUACUGUUAAUGCUAUGAUAGACUGCAAAAAGAAUGUUGUUACUGUUGGCCUGGAUGAUAUGGUUCAUGAGUUUAAUUUCUCUAAAUUUAGUAAGCAACAUCGUGAGGAGGAAUUGCCUAGUAAGGAUGAAAUUAUUGGUCUUGCUUCCAUUGCCGUACCUCCUAGUGAUCCUUUAGAACAAUAUUUGCUAGACCAUGAAAAUGAUAUGUUCAUGAAUGAAAGAAGGGAAAUAGACGAAGUAUUCUUCAAACAAGAACCUAUUCUGCAACACAAUUUUCCUGUUGAAAUCCUAGGGGGUCCUCCUCCACCCAAGGGUGAUCCCGUGUUUGAGCUUAAACCAUUGCGUGAUAAUCUCAAAUAUGCUUAUCUUGAUGAAAGUAAAAUAUAUCCUGUCAUUAUUAGCGCUAACCUUUCAGAGCAUGAAGAAGAAAGAUUAUUAAAAACUUUGAAGAAGCACCGUGCCGCUAUUGGAUAUACACUUGAUGAUCUUAAGGGCAUCAGUCCCACUCUAUGUCAACAUAAAAUAAAUUUGGAAGCUGAUGCCAAACCAGUUUGUGAUCCUCAACGACGUUCGAAUCCUAAAAUGAAAGAAGUGGUAAGAAAAGAAAUACUCAAGCUUCUGGAGGCAGGUAUAAUUUAUCCCGUUGCUGAUAGUCAGUGGGUAAGUCCUGUCCAUUGUGUCCCUAAGAAGGGAGGUAUUACUGUUGUCCCUAAUUAUAAAGAUGAAUUGACCCCGCAAAGAAUUAUCAAAGGUUAUAGGAUGGUAAUUGAUUUCCGUAAAUUAAAUAAAGCUACUAAGAAAGAUCAUUAUCCCUUACCUUUUAUUGAUCAAAUGCUAGAAAGAUUAUGCAAACAUACACAUUAUUGCUUUCUAGAUGGUUAUUCUGGUUUCUCUCAAAUACUUGUGUCAGCUAAAGAUCAAUCAAAAACUACUUUUACAUGCCCUUUUGGUACUUUUUGAAAGUGCUAGUUAUCAACUAGAGGGGGGGGGGGUGAAUAGGCGAUUUUUAUCAAAGUCUUCAAAACGUGGAAGUUUUGAAGACAAACAAUAGAAAUAACCUAAUUGAUAUGCAGCGGAAGAUAAACUACAACAAGCAAGCCAUAGUCAAGUAUGCAAUAACAUUAACGUACGAAGACUAAUAGCCGCUAGGUAGUAGGAUCAGGAUGGAAGAUAGUAUGAAGCCAAUCAACAAUAGUAGUCAAACAAAGAAGUCAAUCAGAUAAGACAGAUAAGCAAUGACGUCACGAAGACAAACUCAAAGUAAAGGAGGGAAGAGAUAGAACCAGUCACUUGUUGAAGACACAGGAUUUGUUGGACCAGUUCCAGUUGCUGUGACAACUGUACGUCUGGUUAGGGAGGCUGAGAUUCAACUCAGAAGACCGUGUCUUCACCAUAUUCCCCUUGAGCUAAGGACACUUAGUCCUCGCCCAAUCACUCUGGUAAGUCUUCAAGGUAGACUUACAAACCUUCACAGACUUUGUUCACCCGGCAAUCCACAAUGACUCUUGGAUGCUCAGAACGCGACGCCUAACCGGCUGGAGGAUACACAAUCCUCAAGUGUAAUAAGUCUUCAGGUCACACAGACAGAAAGACUUCAGUGAUGCCUAACACUCUUUGGCUCUGGGUGUUUGGGCUUUGCCUCGCAAGGAUUUCUCUCUCAAAGGCUUCGAGGUGGGUUGCUCUCAAAACGACAAAAGCCGUAAACUAACUCUGAGCAGCCACCAAUUUAUGGUGUAGGGGGUGGGCUAUUUAUAGCCACAAGGCAACCCGACCUGAUUUGUACGAAAUGACCCUGGGUCACUAAGGAACUGACAUGUGUUCCAAUGGUCAGAUUUCAAACACACGCGGCAACUUUACUUGGGCUACAAGCAAAGCUGACUCAUCCAACUCUGGAUAAGAUUUGCUCUCAUUGUCUUCGCUCGAAGACAUAGGAUUUGGGUUGAGCAUCACUUCAGUCACUCUGACUUAGUUCACUUGGACCCCACUUAACAGUACGGUGGUUCCUAUGACUCAACAAAGAAGAAAAAGGAAACAACGAAACCACACAGUCUUCGCGCUCCAUAGUCUUCACGCAAUGUCUUCUCAUGUCAUAGUCUUCAAUAUGAAUAUCUUCUCAUACCACCAUUGUCUUCAAUGUCUUCAUACAUUUUUAGGGGUCAUCUCCGGUAGGUAAACCGAAUCAAUGAGGGACACUACCUGCGUUAUCCUGCAAUUCUCACAAGCGCAUUAGUCCCUCAACCAAUUUAGUCGUCAAUACUCCAAAACCAACUAGGGGUGGCACUAGAUGCACUUACAAUCUCCCCCUUUUUGGUGAUUGAUGAAAAACUAGUUGAAGUUUUCAACGGGGAUAAAGUAUGUGAAAUUGUAAAGGAUAGGAAAUUGUCUUCAUAAGUAGCAAGGGCUCCCCCUGAAAAUGUGUAUAUAAGUAAUUUUGCUUUUGGAAUGCAAAUGCACAUGGCAGGUUGUACUUGUGGAGAUCCACUUCAACUUAUGAAGAUAAUUCAUCAUGCAUGAAAUGAUAUAGCAUAUAGGAUGACAUGCAUAAUGAAAAAUGGACGUCUGCAGGAUGAUCUAAGUGCGGAAGUUAUCAUCGCACAUGCGGAAUUUAUCAUCGCAUCACAGUAAAGCAAAUAAGUAGCAGACAACCAUCAAGUCUAGGUGUUACAACUCAAAGAACCAAAUGUUUUAAAAAGCAAGAGUUGUAAGCACGAGGCAAAAAUAUAAUGCAACCGCCCAUAUGAACCCGCUUGAAGACUAUCAACUCGUAUGCUUCUCCCCCUUUUGUUAGUAAUGACCAAAAAGGUUUGAAGACAUAGAGCAUCUACUCGUCCUCACGAGGAGUAGUUGAAGCAGCAAGGUUGUCGUUGUCGUUUGGCGGUGCAGAUGAACUUGGUGCAGUGUCGAUGCGAGCAGAAGUAGGAGGUGGUGAAGUAGCAUCAUCUUCGUCAUCGAUCACUCUGGCAUUGACAGUUGCCGCGGAGGAAGAAUAUUCAGAGUCUUCAAGAGAUGGAGUAUGACGUAGGACAGCAGUCCAUGGAGGAGUGGAGUCAAACUGGAAUCGUUCAUUAAAGCCAUCGUCUUGAAGAUCUGCUUCAGCUCUAAGCAGGGUCAAGCUCUUCCAUGAUCGCCGGCAAGUUUCAUGAGCAACAAAGGCAUUCUUGGUGGCAAGGUUACGAAUGCGAUUGACAUCCACCAAGAGGCUUUGCAUUUGACGCUUCAGCCAAAAAUGAUGCUUAUCUUGCUUCUGAUGUAGGGCCACAAGAAGUUCUCGGUUGCUGAGAACGCGAGAACGCUUCCGAGGCCUUUGGGCAAUAGUGCUUUCAGUGGCUUCAGUAGGUGCUCGAUGAGGCAGACGAGUAUUUCUAGCCAGUGGAUAGAUUCAUGUUGCUGCUUGAACACCUUCAAUGGGUUGAGUGAAGCUUUGGUGCUCGGCAUUCUGAAGACAAAGAGGCUUCUUGGCAGGUUCAGGGUAUAUAGCUUCAACUGACAUAUCAACCUCUGGUAGAAAAAUCACAUGAUUGCGAGCAGAAGGUUGAUAGUUGACAAAUGAGUGUCGCUUGAUGAGGCGCAUGACCCAUGGAGCAUAAAACUUCAGACCAAACAGAUCAGAUCCAGAUGCAGCCAGUUGCCUGAUGAAGAAGUCUUGCGCAUUGAAGCUGAUGCCAUUGAGAAUGUAGAAGUCCAAAGUCUUCAUUGCUCCUUCAAGCUUUGCCGCUGAUGAAUGUCCUUUGAUAGGCCAUAGAGUUCGCCUGAUGAUGUGAUAUAUGGUGCGUGGCAAAUACUCAAGGUCUUCAACAAAGAACUCUAUUGGAUAUUCAGCAUUACGAGGCAAAGGCUUCAUCAUGCUCAACAUCUGACUCAUAUUGGGUUCAGGCUUAUGAAAGAUGCUUUCCAAGGCAUUGCGGUGAUUUUGACAACCAGGUUCAUAGAGUUCUCCUGGAGUGGAUAGGCCUGUAAGCUCAAUGAUGUCGAGAGCUUUGGCUUCAUGAUGAACAUUUCCUGUCAUCCACUCUAGAAUCCAUGUCUUGAUAUCUCUGUUGUAGCCGCGAAUGUGUAGAGUAGCAUAGAAUUGAAGCAAUAGCUCUUCAUUCCAGUGUUCUUUAUCUGUGACAAAACUGAGCAGCCCAGCAUCACAAAAGCAGUCAAGUGCUUCUUCUAAGCAGGGCAGUCCAGUAAUGGCUUCAGCGUCGAGGCGCAUAUGAGGGAAAAUGCGCCCUUGAUCAUACAGAACACAGGAGUAAUAGCUUCGCUGAUGAUGACUCCAGAACCAAUCUGAUGAUAUUCUUGGCUUCAUGUAGGGGUUCUUCGAGCUGUCAAAGAAUGUGUUGUGGCUCUUGAAGCCAUUCGCAUUGAAAGACCCUGGUGAGUUUGCAGUACCUGGAAACCUUGGUAGUCUUGGCUUGGGCUUCUGGACCUGAGGCCUAUGCUCAAUGUGAUAGUCAAAUUGAGGACCAGAGACAUUAGGCGGAGGGACCAAAAUGGGCCAUCUUACUGUGAUUAGCUCGCCAUGGUUGUAUGCUUGCUCGAUUGUAUAGGGCCGUGGUGGCGGAACAGGAGCAGUGGCAGCAACUGAGGCUUCAGGCUGCACAACAGGUGCUUCAGGAGCAGUUGCCUCAUUAGCUUCGGGUGCAGUGGCCUCAUUAGCUUCAGGCACACUGAUUGGUUCAUGCUCCACAUUAGCUUCAGCCAUGACAACGUCAUUGGCUUCACUUGCGUUGGUUGUGGCAGCUUCAGGAUUUUCAACCUCCACUUGAGGAGCUGGAGGGUUAGGCACAGACAUGUUCACUUCANNNNNNNNNNNNNNNNNNNNNNNNNNNNNNNNNNNNNNNNNNNNNNNNNNNNNNNNNNNNNNNNNNNNNNNNNNNNNNNNNNNNNNNNNNNNNNNNNNNNNNNNNNNNNNNNNNNNNNNNNNNNNNNNNNNNNNNNNNNNNNNNNNNNNNNNNNNNNNNNNNNNNNNNNNNNNNNNNNNNNNNNNNNNNNNNNNNNNNNNNNNNNNNNNNNNNNNNNNNNNNNNNNNNNNNNNNNNGUUCUUCUUGACGUUCCUCAUCGGCUGAUACAGCCGGAUUGUCUUCAGCAGCUUGUGCUUCAGACACAGAGACAUUCAUAGUUGGAGUGACUUCAGAGAACACUUGACGUGCAACAGGUUGAUGGUGCACUUCUCCUUCUGGAACGCUCGAAAGAGGGACUUGAGGCCUUGGUCCUUUGUGAAGCCUUUGUAGUACAGGCGACGCCUUUGGAGAUGGAGUGGGUAGGUCCUCAUCCUCUUCAACUUGGACGGAUGGUGUGGUUUGUUGAUGUUGGGGAGUACUGGGGGAGUCUUGUUGCUGUGGGUGAUCAGCCCACGAUGCAUCCUGAGCAAUUGGCGUCAGAGGACGACCAAUGCUGAUGUUUUCGCUGUUCGUACGAACAUGCGAUGAUACCACAUUAUAUUCGAUCUGAGGAAGAACUUCAUCAUCUUCAACAUUGUCAUGAUGACCAAUGUCUUCAGUAGCGGUGGGUUCAGCUGCUGGUAUAUCUUCAGCUUCAGGAGCCUCUGUGGAAGCAGGCUCAUGAACAGUCAUGCGAAGUUCUUGGGAUGCAGAUGAAGGACGAACCACUGAGAUGGGUUCAACAACAAGGGGCUCUAUGGGAGCAGCCCGACUCUUCUUGGUCUUGUGCUUCUUCUUGGAGGGAGCAGCAUCAGAGGCUUCGGUGUUCUUCCUCUUUCUGGCUUCAGCCUCGGCAGCCCUCGUCUUCUUCUAUUCUGAAUCGGUUGUGGUGACCUUUGGCUUCGAGCCAGUCAUGCUGCUCGGGAAGAUAAUGCGAGGGGCUUGUUGGCUUGAAGGUGCAGGCUGGUCAGCAGGAAGCUUCUUCUUUUUCUUUGCAGCCAUCCUCGGGUCAAUGCCAGGACGGCCAAGUGACUUGCGCUUCUCAGCCUCAUUGUAGGCAAGCACACACUUAUUAGCCAAAUGCUUCAUGCGCUCACGAGAGCCUUGAGCUUCUUGGCGCUUCUUCAGAAAAGCUUCUUUAAGCUCAUGCAGCAUGACCUUGAAGUUUUUGACGUCUUGAACACUAAGCUUCGCCACAUGCUUCUUGAAUUGAGCCUUCUCAUAAUCAAUUUUGUUCUUUAGCUCAACGAUGCGCUGAGCAAGAGCUAGCUCAGAAGCAAUGGCGCCAUUGAAAGAGACACUGAGGCCAAUGGGAAGCUGCAAAUCUUCAAAGCUUAGAUUGGAGGUGUCAAACCACUCAUCAAUGAAGUUAUGGAUGAUGGCCACGUCAAAGAGAGGCAAGUUGUUGAAGAUUUCUGCUUCUUCCUUGCUCUUUAUCAGUUGCUCAAGGGCAUCAUCAGCAAGAUCUUCAUCACUGGAUAGAUCAAUGGGCUCUUCACGCAGAAUGGCGGCAGGAGUCAAGGCUUGAUCAGUAUGCUUGACAAGUUGCUUUUUCUUUUCCGUCUUCUUGGAGAUGCGGGAUUGAUCUUCAGACUGCACACUGGCUUUAGGAGGUGCAGUGGCCAGUGGCUUCACACGAGAAGCUUUUGGAGGUGCAGCUGAUGAUGAAGCCUUAAUUUUCUUUGGCUUCUGCGGCCUUGGAGGAGGAGUUGGGGCUUCAUCAGAAUCAGCCUCAUUGUCAGAAUGAUCCACUUUGGCACCUUGUACCAAGAUGUAGGAGAUGAGGCCAUCAAGGUUUGCAAAAGGGCCAAUUCUGUUUUCUUCAGCUUCACGUGUGCCAUCAUCACGGGGAGCAGAGGGACCAGGAUUGAAGUCUAAUCCCUGUGAUUUCCUGUUUUCCUUUGUUGAAGCCUUAGCAAACUAGAAGUUGCGCUUGAAGAGAUUGUCGUCACGACACCAGAGCAAUGAUGAUGGGUCGGCUUCUUCAGGCUGUGGUCCACGGACCAUGCAAGGAUAGAAUUCUUGCGAAUGGCUUCAGCUUUGUUCUUGGGGGGAAGGCCUCGAUAGAGAAUAUCACCCCAAGGGCUCUUGAUAGCAUUUUUCUCUGCGUACUCCUGGGUGACGAACUUGUACUUGUACCACUGUUCAUCCCAAUAGCGUCGAAUCCAUUGGAUUCUAGUCUUGCGCUGAUUGUAAUCUUCUUCAUGAUCUGUUUUAUACAUUUCUGCCAGAUCAUCAGGUAGAUCCUUUGAAGUUCCCCCACGACACUGUCUGCCACCCUUCCUGACAGAUUUUUCUGCAGCCAUGAACUUCAAACUGAAUGGCUUCAAUAUUUCAAAGGCUUCAAAGGCUUCGCUUGCUGGUUAUACAAGAACUAGCUUCAGGAGAAUCAAUGUGUUGCUGUAAGAAUUCUGCAAAUGAAUGCAGACUAUGAGAACCUAGGGAUUCUCCCAUGGACAUGUACCUGUGACAGCAUUAGAGAUGCGAGGGAAGGGGAAGAGGUCAUAUGCAUUCUCAGAAGAUUUUGAAGAUAAAUCAGUUUGAAGACAUUGACCUCAUGAUGCGAAGACAUUCACUUAUAUGAGGUGAGUUGGUUCUAGAUUUGUACCAAUCCGUGAAUAAGUACAAGUGAGGAAUCAAACUAGAUAGGAAAUCUAAGUGAAUAGACUAGGCAUAAUGAGAUGCAGACAGAAUAGAUCUAACAUUGAGUAGGUAGAAACCACUUUCGGUAAAUAGGAUGAAUCUAUGAAGAUCAAAACGGUGAUAAAAAUAGAGUUAUAAUUACCGCACGAAGAACUGCUAGAAGGGAUGAAUAGGAGACCGAGCAGUUCAGCCCACCGUGCCCUAACUUGGCGACGGAGGACACCUACAGCGAUGGCGGAGAGGACAAUGUCCGCGGCCGGCGUGAGGACGGCGUCGGAGAAGUCGUGGCAGCUAAGCGCUUCGUCGCCGGCAUCAUCGAGAGCUAGCGGUGGCGCUAGGGUUUUGACGAGGUGGAGAGGUGGAAGAAGGGUUUCUUGACCGCAGGGGACACGUAUUUAUAAGUAGGUGUGCGGCACAGUGCAAUUACGCAGGUGCCCCCGUCUGUUCACAUUCGUGGGACAUGUGGCAAGCAUGCAACAUACUUAGAGUUGUCCCACGUUCCCACGCCCACCAAGUUUGUCGGAUGUUCGUUCCGGCUUCUCCGGAUAUCGAUAAUAAAGAUGAAUCAUUUAAAUAGGACUUGAUGUUUGUCUCUGUGUCUUCUGCUGACUAGGACGCAGAGAAGACAUUCGACCGUUUCAAUAGAAUGCAUAUGAUUUGGACAGAUAGAGUUUGAGAUAGAAAGCAUAGAGGGGUUAGGGUCCGAUCACAUUCACUUAGUUCAAAUGAUUCAACUUGAAGACAUAGCUAUAAGUGAAUGCUGUAGAGGACAGAACGCUAGUGUANNNNNNNNNNNNNNNNNNNNNNNNNNNNNNNNNNNNNNNNNNNNNNNNNNNNNNNNNNNNNNNNNNNNNNNNNNNNNNNNNNNNNNNNNNNNNNNNNNNNNNNNNNNNNNNNNNNNNNNNNNNNNNNNNNNNNNNNNNNNNNNNNNNNNNNNNNNNNNNNNNNNNNNNNNNNNNNNNNNNNNNNNNNNNNNNNNNNNNNNNNNNNNNNNNNNNNNNNNNNNNNNNNNNNNNNNNNNNNNNNNNNNNNNNNNNNNNNNNNNNNNNNNNNNNNNNNNNNNNNNNNNNNNNNNNNNNNNNNNNNNNNNNNNNNNNNNNNNNNNNNNNNNNNNNNNNNNNNNNNNNNNNNNNNNNNNNNNNNNNNNNNNNCGAAUCAUCAUAGCGCAGAAAAUCAUGAAGAUAAAUUGAAACUGAAGACAAACCAAAUGCGAAGUCUUUGCAAAAGUAACGCCAUGAGUGAAACACUUCAAACAGAGAAAUUUGGUGGUGGCGUUACCCACCGUAUAGGAAGUAUUAGACCCAGACAUGGCGCACAAUUAUCGUGGCGCUCCAAAGUCAAAUUCCAUGUUAAUGUAUUCACACUCAGAGUGUAAGUCUUCAUUGAUUGAAGAUAUACCUCACUUCGUGUGUUGCACAUCUAAGUCAUCAACAUGCAUAAGUGUUAGGAUGUGUGCCUGAUUACAGGACAUUUGAGGAUUCCAAGAUAUUUAGCUCACACCGUAACUUGCAAAACCUUUUCUCAUCCAAGGGCUUUGUGAAGAUAUCUGCAAGUUGUUCUUCAGUGUUGACGUGAAUGAUGUCAAUAUCUUUCUUCAUGACAUGAUCUCUGAGAAAAUGAUGACGAAUCUCAAUGUGCUUUGUCUUCGAGUGCUGAACUGGAUUGUUGGCAAUCUUGAUGGCACUCUCGUUGUCGUAGAAGAGAGGUACUUGUUUCAGGUUGAUGCCAUAGUCCUUGAGAGUUUGCUUCAUCCAUAGAAGCUGAGCACAACAGCAUCCAGCAGCAAUGUAUUCAGAUUCAGCAGUUGAGAGUGAUACGCAGUUCUGCUUCUUUGAAGACCAACAGACAAGUGAUCGACCAAGAAAAUGACAUGUUCCUGAUGUUGACUUGCGAUCCACCUUGUCACCAGCAUAAUCAGCAUCCGAGAAUCCAACCAGGUCAAACCUUGAGCCCUUUGGAUACCAUAAUCCGAGUGUUGGGGUGUAAGCCAAAUAUCGAAGAAUUCGCUUCACAACUAAGUGAUGCGAUUCCUUUGGUGCCGCUUGGAAUCGAGCACACAUGCAAACACUAAGCAUAAUAUCUGGCCUAGAUGCACAUAGAUAAAGUAAAGAACCAAUCAUGGAGCGGUAUACCUUUUGAUCGAACUCUUUACCAUUGUCGUCGGGACCAAGGUGGUGUUUGGCUGGCAUUGGCGUCGUAUAACCUUUGCAGUCUUCCAUUCCAAACUUCUUCAGACAAUCUUUGAGGUACUUUUCUUGAGAUAUGAAGAUGCCAUUGCUUUGCUGACGAAUUUGAAGACCAACGAAGAACUUCAGUUCUCCCAUCAUGGACAUCUGAUAUUGCUCUUGCAUCAUGUAUCCAAACUCAUCACUAUACUUCUGGUUGGUGCAGCCGAAGAUAAUGUCAUCCACAUAUAUUUGGCACACAAACAGUUCGCCAUCAUAUGUCUUCGUGAAGAGUGUGGGAUCGAGGGAUCCUGGUUUGAAGCCUUUGCUCUUCAGGAAGUCUUUGAUCGUAUCAUACCAUGCGCGAGGAGCUUGUUUGAGGCCAUACAGUGCUUUGUUUAGCUUGUACACCAUAUCAGGAUGUUUUGGAUCUUCAAAGCCAGGUGGUUGAGCGACAUAUACUUCUUCUUCAAUCUUGCCAUUGAGAAAUGCACUCUUCACAUCCAUUUGAUAUAGCAAAAUGUUGUGAUGAUUAGCAUAGGCUAGCAGUAUGCGAAUAGCUUCAAGCCUAGCAACAGGAGCAAAUGUUUCAUCAAAGUCAAAUCCUUCAACUUGAGUAUAUCCUUGAGCCACAAGACGUGCUUUGUUUCUGACGACUUGACCGUGCUCAUCUUGCUUGUUUUGAUAUAUCCAUUUUGUUCCUAUAAUGUUAUGCUUGCGAGGGUCAGGUCGCUUGACAAGUUCCCAAACAUUAUUCAGCUUGAACUGUUGAAGUUCUUCUUGCAUGGCUUGAAUCCAUUCAGGUUCCAUAAAAGCUUCAGCAACUUUCUUGGGUUCAGAUAUUGAUACAAAUGAAAAAUGCCCACAGAAAUUUUCUAACUGUGUUGCUCUUGAUCGAGUAAGCGGACCAGGCGCAUUGAUGCUAUCAAUUAUCUUCUCAAUUUGUACUUCAUUUGCAACACGAGGAUGAACUGGACGAAGACCUUGCUCAUGCUGAUCAUUGUCAUCAUUGGAAGGAUUGUCUUCGGUCUGAGCAUUGUCUUCAGGUUGGUUUGGUGCAGAAAUGAUAAGUUCCUCUUCAGGCUGUGCUUCAGAGGGCAUGAUUUCACCAGUUCCCAUCAGCUUGAUAGAUUCACUAGAAGGAGCUUCAUCAAGUGUGCUUGGCAGAAGCUCUCGUUGUGAACCAUUGGUUUCAUCAAAUCGCACAUCCACUGUUUCAACGAUUUUGUAGUGGAAGAGGUUGAAGACUCUGUAAGAGUGUGAAUCCUUUCCAUAGCCAAGCAUGAAGCCUUCGUGAGCUUUGGGUUCAAAUUUUUACUUGUGAUGGGGAUCCUUGAUCCAGCAUCUAGCACCAAAGACUCUGAAGUAAUUGACAUUUGGCUUCUUGCCAGUAAGGAGCUCAUAGGAUGUUUUGCCCAGAAGCUUAUGGAUGUAGACACAGUUGAUGAUGUGACAAGCUGUAUCAAUAGGUUCAGGCCAGAACUUUCUUGGUGUCUUGUACUCGUCGAGCAUUGUUCGAGCCAUCUCAAUGAGGGUUCUGUUCUUGCGCUCAACAAUGCCAUUUUGCUGAGGUGUGUAAGGAGCAGAAAAUUCAUGAGUGAUUCCCAUUGUAUCCAAAUAAAGAUCAAGGCCGUUGUUCUUGAAUUCAGUGUCGUUAUCACUUCUGAUAUGCUUGAUCUUGACGCCAUAAUUGUUCAUUGCUCGAUUGGCGAAUCGUCUGAAGACAUCUUGUACUUCAGUCUUGUAGAGAAUUAUGUGCACCCAUGUAUAUCUUGAGUAGUCAUCAACAAUGACGAAGCCAUAGAGACACGCCAUUGUUGUGAGGGUGGAGUAGUGAGUAGGUCCAAAUAAGUCCAUGUGUAGCAGCUCGAAGGGUUGAGAUGUUGUCAUGAUUGUCUUCGAGGGGUGCUUGGCCCUCGUCAUCUUCCCAGCUUCGCAAGCACCACACAAAUGAUCUUUCUUGAACUUGACACCUUCGAUGCCUAUGACAUGCUUCUUCUUGACGAGAGUGUGUAAGUUCCUCAUGCCAGCGUGCCCCAGCCUUCGAUGCUAGAGCCAGCAUUCUGAAGCUUUUGCAAGAAGACAUACGGCAAGCUGUGGACCUGCUGAGAAAUCUACCAUGUAUAGAUCACCUUUCCUAUACCCUUCAAAGACUAGAGACUUGUCAGAUUCCAUUAGUAUAAGGCAACGAUAUUUUCCAAAUAUCACAAUCAUGUUUAAGUCACAAAGCAUUGAGACAGACAUUAAGUUGAAUCCAAGGGAUUCAACAAGCAUCACUUUAUCCAUGUGUUGAUCCUUUGAGAUUGCAACUCUACCUAGACCCAAUACCUUGCCUUUACCAGUGUCAGCAAAUGUGAUUUGACUCUUGUCGGAUGGACGUAAGGUUGAGUCCAUGAGAAGACUUUGAUCACCAGUCAUAUGAUUAGUGCAUCCGCUGUCAAUAAUCCAUUCUGAAGCUUUUGGUGACAUGCCCUACAGUGCAGUUAGGAGGAUAGGCUUCACAAGGUAUGUUGUGAAGCAUAAGCUGUUGAUGCACACUUGGAUUAUCACAUCAUAGAUGAAAGUUAGCACACAGUAUGAUAGGUAAGCGAUUCAUAUGUGGAAUACAUAGUAAGUCAUUUUAUCAUGCGUCCCUUUGUGUUUUAGGUCCCCAGCAAUUAUAUCGGACGCCUUUGAUUGCUGGCUGGAGACCACAUUCUGCAAAAGAGAGUUAAUUCUUCUUCACCACCCACAUUUUCAGGGGUGGCUUAGAAGCAAUGAGUCUAAGUGCAGCAUCUGAGAAUUUCGGCUUUGAAGCCCUAGCAAAUAGCCUUGCAGGAGAUGAAUGAUACUCAUGUGAAUAAGCAGAAAAGUUCUUAGUUCUAUGAACAUAGCGGUUUGAAGACACACGCUCAUAUUCAUGAGUCUGAGUAUGAUUUCCCUGCAAAACAUUGGCGUUAGGGUGACUCAAGUGAGUCCUGUGUUCGUAUGAAGCCGUUAGACCAUAUGAUGCCUUUGGUCUGGGGUUUGUCUUCUUCCCUGGUGGUGUCAUGAUGACAUUCACUGGAAGAUUCUCAAGGCAGCUUUUGGGAACCCAGAUCUUCUUCAUAGGAGGUCCAUUCCUGCAGUUAGUACCAAUAUACCUGGCAAACACUUCACCAUUCUGAUUUUUGAACAGUUUAUAGUCUGCAUCAAAGGAUUCAUCAAUGAUAAUAGGAUUACCACAGGUAAAUCCAGAUAAAGUGGAUGGAUCCACUGAAGGUUCCUUUGCAGCAACCCAUGUGGUUUUGGGAUACUGCUCAGGCUUCCAGUAGGAACCAUCAACAUUCAUUUUCCUCUCGAACCCAACACCCUCUUUCCUAGGGUUUCGGUUCAGAAUAUGCUUUUUGAGGACAUCACAAAGUGUGUGAUGCCCUUUCAGACUUUUAUACAUCCCUGUUUCAAGCAAUGUCUUCAACCUAGCAUUUUCAUCAGCAAUAGUAGUGGUAUCCUCAGAUGAGGGGUUAGUUACCACAUCAGUAGUUGAAGACAGAGCAACAGUAGCAGUAGUGGAACACUCAGCAACAGAGGCAGCGUUAUCAUGCUCAAUGCAUUUUAGACAUGGUGGUUCAAAUUCAUCCUGAGCGGGACUGAUCUGUUGAGCGCGAAAUGAAUCGUGCUUCUUCAGAAGAACUUCAUAAUCCACUCUUAUCUUUUCAAGAUCUUGCUCUCUUUGAAGACAUUCAGAAGAAAGUUUCUCAUGAUCAGACAAGAGAGCAAUAUGUUGAUCUUGAAGGGCGUCAAACUUGGAAUGAAGUCUCUGAAGACUCUCAGCCAAAGCUUUUGACUGAUCCAUUUCUUCGCCCAACAUAUCAUCGCUCUUACUAAGCAUGUUUUGAAUCUUUUCCAAAGCUCUUUGUUGUUUAGUGGCAAGGGAAGCAAGUUUGACAUAGCUGGGGCCAAAUUCAUCACCUGAUUCAUCAUCACUAGUUUCAGAAGGAUAGCAUUCAGUUACCUUAGCACCCCCUGCUAUGAGGCAUGGUGAAGAUGAAGACAGUUCAGAUGGAAAGGUCAUCUCUUUAAGAGACUCCUUGUAGUCAUCAAGCCAAGGAUCAUGAUGAUUAAGAUGACUAUCAUAGACCUUUGAAAGCCAGUCCCAGAUUAGCUUCGCGUGAUUGAGGUGCAUGACGUUCCUGAACUGGUUUCGGGACAGGCAGGAGCAGAUGACAUCCUUCGCUGUGAGGUUCAGUAGAGUGUACUUGUGAAUGUCAUCAGCCUCCGCCAUCUUGCAGAGAUCAGUAAGACCAAUCUCGGUGACGGUCCACAGUUCGCUGUCCAUAGCCAUGAGUCACUUCUUCAUCAUGGCUUUCCACCGAGGAUACUCAUGACCAUCAAAGGUGGGGCAAGAUACAUUCCUCAAUCCUGCAGUCGACAUAGCUAAACUCCAGGUGGUUAAACCGAAUCACACAGAACAAGGGAGUACCUUGCUCUGAUACCAAUUGAAAGUGCUAGUUAUCGACUAGAGGGGGGGGGGUGAAUAGGCGAUUUUUAUCAAAGUCUUCAAAACAUGGAAGUUUCGAAGACAAACAAUAGAAAUAACCUAAUUGAUAUGCAGCGGAAGAUAAACUACAACAAGCAAGCCAUAGUCAAGUAUGCAAUAGCAUUAACGCACGAAGACUAAUAGCCGCUAGGUAGUAGGAUCAGGAUGGAAGAUAGUAUGAAGCCAAUCAACAAUAGUAGUCAAGCAAUGAAGUCAAUCAGAUAAGACAGAUAAGCAAUGACGUCACGAAGACAAACUCAAAGUAAAGGAGGGAAGAGAUAGAACCAGUCACUUGUUGAAGACAAAAGAUUUGUUGGACCAGUUCCAGUUGCUGUGACAACUGUACGUCUGGUUAGGGAGGCUAAGAUUCAACUCAGAAGACCGUGUCUUCACCUUAUUCCCCUUGAGCUAAGGAAACUUAGUCCUCGCCCAAUCACUCUGGUAAGUCUUCAAGGUAGACUUCCAAACCUUCACAGACUUCGUUCACCCGGCAAUCCACAAUGACUCUUGGAUGCUCAGAACGCGACGCCUAACCGGCUGGAGGAUACACAGUCCUCAAGUGUAAUAAGUCUUCAGGUCACACAGACAGAAAGACUUCAGUGACGCCUAACACUCUUUGGCUCUGGGUGUUUGGGCUUUGUCCUCGCAAGGAUUUCUCUCUCAAAGGCUUCGAGGUGGGUUGCUCUCAAAACGACAAAAGCCGUAAACUAACUCUGAGCAGCCACCAAUUUAUGGUGUAGGGGGUGGGCUAUUUAUAGCCACAAGGCAACCCGACCUGAUUUGUCCGAAAUGACCCUGGGUCACUAAGGAACUGACAUGUGUUCCAACGGUCAGAUUUCAAACACACGCGACAACUUUACUUGGGCUACAAGCAAAGCUGACUCAUCCAACUCUGGAUAAGAUUUGCUCUCAUUGUCUUCGCUCAAAGACAUAGGAUUUGGGUUGAGCAUCACUUCAGUCACUCUGACUUAGUUCACUUGGACCCCACUUAACAGUACGGUGGUUCCUAUGACUCAACAAAGAAGAAAAAGGAAACAACGAAACCACACAGUCUUCGCGCUCCAUAGUCUUCACGCAAUGUCUUCUCAUGUCAUAGUCUUCAAUAUGAAUAUCUUCUCAUACCACCAUUGUCUUCAAUGUCUUCAUACAUUUUUAGGGGUCAUCUCCGGUAGGUAAACCGAAUCAAUGAGGGACACUACCUGCGUUAUCCUGCAAUUCUCACAAGCGCAUUAGUCCCUCAACCAACUUUGUCGUCAAUACUCCAAAACCAACUAGGGGUGGCACUAGAUGCAACACUUUUGCUUAUAGACGUAAGCCUUUUGGUUUAUGUAAUGCACCUGCUACCUUUCAAAGAUGCAUGAUGGCUAUAUUCUCUGACUUCUGCGAAAAGAUUUGUGAGGUUUUCAUGGAUGACUUUUCCGUCUAUGGUUCCUCUUUUGGUGAUUGCUUAAGCAAUUUGAUCGAGUUUUGCAGAGAUGUGAAGAAACUAAUCUUGUCUUGAAUUGGGAAAAGUGCCACUUUAUGGUUAAUGAAGGUAUUGUCUUGGGGCACAAAGUUUCUGAAAGAGGUAUUGAAGUUGAUAAAGCCAAGGUUGAUGCUAUUGAAAAGAUGCCAUGUCCCAAGGACAUCAAAGGUAUAAGAAGUUUCCUUGGUCAUGCUGGAUUUUAUAGGAGGUUCAUUAAGGACUUCUCAAAAAAUUCUCGGCUCUGACUAAUUUAUUACAAAAAGAUUUACCAUUUGUCUUUGAUGAUGAUUGUGUAGAAGCAUUUGAAAUACUUAAGAAAGCACUAGUCUCUGCACCUGUUGUUCAGCCACCUGAUUGGAAUUUACCCUUUGAAAUUAUGUGCGAUGCUAGUGAUUAUGCUGUAGGUGCUGUUCUAGGGCAAAGAGUUGAUAAGAAAUUAAAUGUUAUCCAUUAUGCCAGUAAGACUCUAGACAGUGCUCAAAGAAAUUAUGCUACUACUGAAAAGGAACUUUUAGCAGUGGUGUUUGCUUGUGACAAGUUUAGACCUUAUAUUGUUGAUUCCAAAGUUACUAUUCACACUGAUCAUGCUGCUAUUAAAUAUCUUAUGGAAAAGAAGGAUGCAAAACCUAGACUUAUUAGAUGGGUUCUCCUGCUUCAAGAAUUUGAUUUGCAUGUUGUUAAUCGAAAAGGAGCUGAGAACCCCGUUGCAGAUAACUUAUCUAGGUUAGAGAAUGUUCUUGAUGACCCACUACCUAUUGAUGAUAGCUUUCCUGAUGAACAAUUAAAUGUCAUAAGCACUUCUCGUAGCACUCCAUGGUAUGCUGAUUAUGCUAAUUAUAUUGUUGCUAAAUUUAUACCACCUAGCUUCACAUACCAGCAAAAGAAAAAGUUUUUCUAUGACUUGCGACAUUACUUUUGGGAUGACCCACAUCUUUAGAAAGAAGGAGUAGAUGGUGUCAUUAGACGUUGUGUACCUAAGCAUGAACAUGAACAUAUCCUACGCAAGUGUCACUCCGAAGCUUAUGGAGGACACCAUGCUGGAUAUAGAACUGCACAUAAGGUAUUGCAAUCCGGUUUUUAUUGGCCUACUCUCUUCAAAGAUGUCCGUAAGUUUGUUUUGUCUUGCGAUGAAUGUCAAAGAAUUGGUAAUAUUAGUAGACGUCAAGAAAUGCCUAUGAAUUAUUCACUUGUUAUUGAACCAUUUGAUGUUUGGGGCUUUGAUUAUAUGGGACCUUUUCCUGCCUCUAAUGGAUACACACAUAUUUUAGUUGUUGUUUAUUACGUUACUAAGUGGGUGGAAGCUAUUCCAACUAGUAGUGCUGAUCAUAACACUUCUAUUAAAAUGCUUAAGGAAGUUAUUUUUCCGAGGUUUGGAGUCCCUAGAUAUUUAAUGACUGAUGGUGGUUCACACUUUAUUCGUGGUGCUUUCCGUAAGAUGCUUGCUAAAUAUGACAUUAAUCAUAGGAUUGCAUCUCCUUAUCACCCUCAGUCUAGUGGUAAAGUAGAGUUGAGUAAUAGGGAGCUCAAAUUAAUUUUGGAAAAGACUGUUAAUAGGUUUAGAAAGAAUUGGUCCAAGAAACUUGAUGAUGCAUUAUGGGCCUAUAGAAUUGCAUAUAAAAAUCCUAUGGGUAUGUCUCCGUACAAAAUGGUUUAUGGAAAAGCUUGUCACUUACCUCUCGAACUAGAACAUAAGGCAUAUUGGGCUAUUAAAGAGCUCAACUAUGAUUUCAAACUUGCCGGUGAGAAGAGGUUAUUUGAUAUUAGCUCACUUGAUGAAUGGAGAGCCCAAGCUUAUGAAAAUGCCAAGUUGUUUAAAGAAAAGGCUAAAAGAUGGCAUGACAAAAGGAUACAAAAGCGUGAGUUUCAUGUAGGUGAUUAUGUAUUGCUAUACAACUCUCGUUUAAGAUUUUUUGCAGGAAAACUUCUCUCUAAAUGGGAAGGUCCCUACGUUAUCGAGGAGGUCUACCGUUCCGGUGCCAUGAAAAUCAACAACUUCACAGGCACAAAUCCGAAGGUGGUAAACAGUCAAAGGAUCAAACACUAUAUCUCAGGUAAUCCUAUAAAUGUUGAAACUAAUAUUAUUGAAACCAUGACCCCUGAGGAAUACAUAAAGGACACUUUCCAGAAUGUUCUAGACUCCGAAAAGGAAUAGGUAUGUGGUACGGUAAGUAAACCGGCUCCAAAACAAUUUUUAAGGCAAUAUUUCUCCGUUUUGGAAUAUUUAGAAAAAUAGAAAAAUAAGUAGCAGUCCGGGGAGGACACGAGGCCUCCACGAGGGUGGAGGGCGCGCCCUACCCCCUGGGCGCGCCCCCUACCUCGUGAGCACCUCGUGUGCCGUCCGGACUCCGUUUCCUUGCACGGUACGUAUUUUGGUUGGUAAAAAUUCAUUAUAUAUACUCCCAAAGGUUUUGACUCUCGUAUCACGCAAAUCUCCCCUGUUUUUGUUUCGAGCUGUUUUUCUGACAGGUCUAGAUCAUCAUGACGACCCCAAGUGCUUCCAAUGACAAGUUCUUCGAGAAGGUGAUUAACCCUUACCUCGCGGAGGUGCUGAGGCACCCUCAAACCAUUGAGAUGCGUGAUGGGUUGCUGCACAUCCGCGAUGUUGAGGGACCAAAGGGAACCGGAAGUGUGGAGUCGAGGCUCGAAGCAAUGGAGCAACAAGUUUUCAAGUGUCAGGGGAUGGUGGAGCGUGGAAUCAACGCUAGCCACAAGAUGCUCGCGGAGUUCACCAACAACUACGAGCCGGAUGCCAAGAACACAGAGGAGGCCAUCUUUAAGCUACAAGAGAAGGUCAAGCAUCUCCAAGCCCAAAUUUAUGAUCUGUAAAAUCAAAACUAUGAGUAUGAAUAUAGAUUCAAAAGGAUGAGUUUGGCUGCAGAUUUGAGGAUUCCGGAGACUCGGUCAUCCUUCUAUGAUGAAGAGCCUAUGCCGUGGAAGUUGGACGACAAGCCUGCAUCAUCAACAAUACCUCCACCUCCAUCACCUCCGAGGAAAUAAUCACAUGGGUAUGGGCACUCCCCUUGGCAACUGCCAAGCUUGGGGGAGGUGCCCUGGUAUCGUAUCACCAUCUCAACUCCUAUCUUUACAGUUUUUCUUAGUUCGAUCCUAUUAGUAGUAUCUUGAUUUAGUAGAAUAAAUUCAUGGCAUGAUCUAGUUUUGAGUUUUGCUUUACGAUCCUUCUUUGUAAUCGAGUCUAUGAGCUAUAUAGUAAAGAUUAGUGUUGAGUCAAGGGCUUGAAUAUUUUGCCAUGAUCUUGGGUGAUUAGAAGAAAAAGAAUAAAAAGAAUCAAGGAGCUCAUAUUGAUCUUAGUGAAAGUAAUGACUUCACAUAGAGAGAGUAUGAUGAUUAAAAGUUGUUGGGAGUUGGCAAAUAUAGCUUUGGUCAUUGUUGCAAUUAAUAGGAAGUAAUAAGGAAAGAGAGGUUUCACAUAUAGAUAUAUUAUCAUUGACAUCUUUUAUGAUUGGGAGCACUCAUUAAAAUAUGACAUGUUAAAGAGUUGAUGUUGGACAAGGAAGACAACAUAAUGAGUUAUGUUUUCUUACAUCCGAGAUAAAGUAUGUUGUCAUGGAUCCUCUACCGUGUUGAGCUUGCCUUUCCCCCUCAUGCUAGCCAAAUUCUUAGCACCAAGUAGAAAUACUACUUGUGCUUCCAAAUACCCUUAAACUAGUUUUGCCAUGAGAGUCCACCAUAUCUACCUAUGGAUUGAGUAAGAUCCUUCAAGUAAGUUGUCAUCGGUGCAAGCAAUAAAAAUUGCUCUCUAAAUAUGCAUGACUUAUUAGUGCAGAGAAAUAAGCUUUGUACGAACUUGUUGUGAACGCAAUAAAAGCGACGGACUGCAUAAUAAAGGUUCACAUGCAAGGGGCAAUAUAAAGUGACGUUCUUUUGCAUUAAGAUUUUGUGCAUCAACCCUAAACACGCAUGACAACCUCUGAUUCCCUCUGCGAAGGGCCUAUCUUUUAUUAUUAUCCUCUACCUUACAAGAGUCACGGUGAUCCUCACCUUUCCUUUUUCAUUUUAUCCUUUGGCAAGCUCAGCAAGUUGGAAAGAGUAUGAUAUACAUAUCUAAUUGGAUGUAGGGGAUCAUGAAUUAUUAUUGUUGACAUUACCCUUGAGGUAAAAUGUUGUGGGGCAAAACUAUAAGCCCCUAUCUUUCUCUGUGUCCGAUUAAAUCUAUGUAACUACAAAUAUCGCGUGGGUGCUAGCAACUAUGAAGGACUAAGUGAUAGUUGAGUAUGUGGACUUGCUUUUAAGCUCUGACAUAGACUCUUUCCGAUGUUAUGAUAAAUUGCAAUUGCUUCAAUGACUGAGAUUAUAAUUGUUAGUGCCCAAUAAGGUUUCUAAUUCAUGCUUUGGCUUUGUGAAUAGAUCAUCACUGGAACAUGAGUAAUCAUAUGACAAAAUCUAAUUAUGUUGCUGUUAUGAAAUAAUCAUGAUGCCUUCAUGUCCGUAUUUUGUUUUUAUCAAUGCCUCUACCUCUAAACACGAGGACAUAUUUAUUGUUAUCGACUUUUCGCUUGAGGACAAGCGAGGUCUAAGCUUGGGGAGUUGAUACGUCCAUUUUGCAUCAUGCUUUUAUGACAAUACUUAUUGCAUUAUGGGCUGCUAUUUCACGUUAUGUCAAGAUACUUAUGGCUAUUCUCUCUUAUUUUACAAGGUUUGCAUGAAGAGGGAGAAUGCCGGCAGCUGGAAUUCUGGGCUAGAAAAGGAGCAAAUAUUGGAGGCCUAUUCUACGCAACUCCAAAAGUCCUGAAACUCCACGGAAUAUCUUGAAAUAAAUAAAGAAAAAUCGUCGCCAAAUAUGAAGGCCAGGGGGCCCACACCCUGCUCACAAGGGUGGGGGGCGCGCCCCCUACCUCGUGGGCCCCCUGGUGGCUCUCCGACGCCCAUCUUCUCUUAUAUGAAGUCUUUCGAUGAGAAAAAAAUUAAGAGAGAACCUUUUGGGACGAGACUCCGCCGCCACGAGGCGGAACCUGGGCGGAACCAAUCUAGGGCUCUGGCAGAGCUGUUCUGCCGGGGACACUUCCCUCCGGGAGGGGGAAAUCAUCACCACGUCAUCACCAACACUCCUCUCAUCAGGAGAGGGCAAUCUCCAUCAACAUCUUCACCAACACCAUCUCAUCUCUAAACCCUAGUUCAUCUCUUGUAUCCAAUUCUUGUCUCCAAGUCCGGGAUUGGUGCUAGUAGGUUGCUAGUAGUGUUGAUUACUCCUUGUAGUUGAUGCUAGUUGGUUUAUUUGGUGGAAGAUCAUAUGUUCAGAUCCUUUAUGCAUAUUAUUACCCCUCUAAUUAUGAACAUGAAUAUGCUUUGUGAGUAAUUACGUUUGUUCCUGAGGACAAGGGAUAAGUCUUGCUAUUAGUAGUCAUGUGAAUUUGGUAUUCGUUCGAUAUUUUGAUGAGAUGUAUGUUGUCUAACCUCUAGUGGUGUUAUGUGAACAUUGACUACAUAACACUUCACCAUUAUUUGGGCCUAGAGGAAGGCAUUGGGAAGUAAUAAGUAGAUGAUGGGUUGCUAGAGUGAUAGAAGCUUAAACCCUAGUUUAUGCGUUGCUUCAUAAGGGGCUGAUUUGGAUCCAUAUGUUUCAUGCUAUGGUUAGGUUUACCUUAAUACUUUUGUUGUAGUUGUGGAUGCUUGCAAUAGGGGUUAAUCAUAAGUGGGAUGCUUGUCCAAGUAAGGGCAGUACCCAAGCACCGGUCCACCCACAUAUCAAAUUAUCAAAGUACCGAACGCGAAUCAUAUGAGCUGAUGAAAACUAGCUUGAAGAUAUUCCCAUGUGUCCUCGGGGGCGCUUUUUUCUAUUAUAAGAGUUUAUCCAGGCUUGUCCUUUGCUACAAAAAGGAUUGGGCCACCUUGCUGCACCUUGUUUACUUUUGUUACUUGUUACUCGUUACAAUUUAUCUUAUCACAAAACUAUCUUUUACUACUUAUUUCAGUACUUGCAGAGAAUACCUUGCUGAAAACCGCUUAUCAUUUCCUUCUGCUCCUCGUUGGGUUCGACACUCUUACUUAUCGAAAGGACUACGAUAGAUCCCCUAUACUUGUGGGUCAUCAACGGCAUCAGCCCCACGGCCGAGGCCUAAGCGCGUUUCCUUUCUUCCGCAGCGCUGACGCGCAUCCUCAGCCAUGUCUACCGUCGCGACCCCAACGCCGACCUUGAUAGCCUGCUGGAUCCUGUGAGCGGCGAGCUUGCCGCCGCCGCUGCUGAGGCUAUGAAGAGCCGAGCAGAGGCCUUGCUGGCGAAGUUCCGCGCCUUUAGCACCAGGCCCAAGCGAGGUUUUGCCAGCUCCGCGGCUUCGGGAGGUGGAGCUGCCCGGCGUGACCCCACCACAAGCGACGGCGCUGCCAAAAAGUGACCUCUUCGUGGCUUCAACCCUGUUUUAAUUCCUACAACAUGCACCAUGCCUCGUGGAGGCGUUUAAACUUGUGUUUGGCAUUGUGAAAACAACCUAUGGUCUGUAAUAUUUGCUUAUGAAUUUCCAAGGAUUUGCAGUCCCCCCCUAUUUGCUUUGUAUUCUACGUCGGCAGGGCCCGGCCCCGCGCAUACCUCAGCCGCCGUUAGCCCCGACCAGAAACCAGGAUAGAACCAACGAGUGAGGGGCUACAUGACCAGUUAGGCUCCUGAGUCGCGAUGCUCAGGAGACCCCCUUGACGCGCGAACAACUAAUAGGGAAGGGAGGUGUUGGAGUGGAUUUGUCGUUCUACGUCGGCAGGGCCCGGCCCCACGCAUACCUCAACCACCGUUAGCCUUUCAGAACUAAGGGGUGAGGGGCUACGUGACCAGUUAGGCUCUUGAGUCGCGAUGCUCAGGAGUCCCCCUUGACGCUCAAACGGUCUUCGUACCUUGGCUCCGCUCGGGGAGGGGCGCGCGACGACCAGGUCCGAGGGACCUGGCUGGGUGGCGUGCGCUCAGGCGUGGCCCGGGCACAGCCCCCGUGUCCAGCCCCCUCACGCGGCGCUCCCGAGGGGAGGCAUUAUGAUAGGGCCGGACACUGAGCUCUGGGCUCCCUGAGGUUGAUGCGGCUGUGGGCUGCCCUCAGUUGUUUAUCACCAGCGCGGAGCAUAGCGCUUCCGUAUGUGUACGGGCAUAGCCGCUCCUCGACAGUGUCGUCAGCCAGCACAGAGCAUGGUGCUUCCACUGGUGCGUGGGAGGGGGCUCCCCUCCAGGAGGAGCCCCCGGGGCGUGUACAGCCCCGCCCCGACACGUGGCUGGCACGGUAGGGCUAGACGAGGUGUAUUUGGGCACCCGUGAGCCAGCGCGGGACUCACGGGGCCCUACCUCAAGGCGGGUUGCGCCUGGCUCUGGGACUUUGUUGGUGGUACGUACCUGCAAGGUUGGUUAGAUUCCAAUACUCUAUGUCCUCAGGUCCCGGCCCUCGAGCGAGUUCAGCCAUCGCUGGUAUGCCAGGUCACGAUGCCGUGGACAAGGCCAGGAGGUGAGGGUUCAAGAGCCAGUAAGAGCCCAUGAGUGGCGAUGCUCAGGUGCCCCCCUUUUAACGUGCAAGCGAUUAGCAUGAAGGAGAAAAGGGGCCUGUGGUAGGCAACAGACGAUAAUGCAGCCCGAGCGGGUCAAAUGUGUGAGGCACACGACCUAGAUAAAUGCGGGAAAGAUACAUGCCACCGGGUCAGGCCCGAGCGGCUUGGGGAUAAUGCAGCCCAAGGGGCGCCCCCAACAAGGUAAACUAGAGAUAUGAGCAAAAGAGAUAGCCACAGGGAUGGACCCACGUGACCUGGGAAUGAUGCAGCCCUGGGGGCGCUCCCAGUUGAAACGGAACUUGAAAGAUGUCACCUGAUACUGUGAAGACGAACGAGCGUUGGAGUAGCGGACGACGCGCAGUGAGGAAGCCGACCCUCACGAGCCCCUAGGGCCCUGAGCCUCGGGAGGCUCCGGGGGCCCAGGCGGCUCCUCGAGGACCAUCUCCAUCUCCGCCAGGACCGCGCAGUGCUUGACCUCUUGAGCUUCCAAAAUGCUUCGCACCAGGCGCUGAUGAGCAGCAGCCGUGUUCGGCAGGCCGAGAGGCAUGCGAACGUAGCUGUGAGGCGGACCCUCGCAACGUCCCACGCGCGAAGGCCAGAGGCGCUCCUGAGAAGCGGCUCGGUUGAGCCCUGGUACAUCGAUGCAGACGCGUAGCCGACCAUCCUCGCCUGGAUGGGGAGCUUUGGUGGGUAAGCGGCGGCUGUCGCGCAUGACUCUUGACUACUUCUUGAGGGAAGCGUGCCAUGAAGCACGCCUCCAAGUGGUGCCCGAGCACCUCCCUCGUGAUCUUGGCAAAGUCAGUGGCCCUCCAGGAGAGGGCCCCCGAGCCUUGCCCGAGGAGGACGCCGGGCGUGCCUUCCUAUGCGACGGAGGGAUGCACCCCUUGAACGGGCGCGGAUCCUGACGCCGUGCCACUAGAGGUGCAAGCCUCCGGAGGGCCUGUGCCAGGUGCUGUCUUCUUCUUCUUGGGAACUACCUCGGGAAGGCUCCCGCUCCUGCGAUCUGGGUCUUCGAUUGACGCGGCCUGGAAGACACGCUCGAGAGAACACACUGUGUCCUUCUCCUCACAGGGGACUCUGAUGACCCCACCACUUCCUGGCAUAUUGAGGACAUUGUAGCCAUGAUGAGUUGAUGACCCACAAGUGUAGGGGAUCUAUCGUAGUCCUUUUGAUAAGUAAGAGUGUCCAACCCAACGAGGAGCAGAAGGAAAUGAUAAGCGGUUUUCAGUAAGGUUUUCUCUGCAAGCACUGAAAUAAUAGGUGAUAGAUAGUUUUGUGAUAAGAUAAAUAGUAACGAGCAAAAAGUAAAUAAAGUAAAUAAAGUGCAGCAAGGUGGCCCAAUCCUUUAUGUAGCAAAGGAUAAGCCUGGACAAAUUCUAAUAAUGAAGAAGAAGCUCCCGAGGACACAUUGGGAAUUAUCAUCAAGCUAGUUUUCAUCACGUACAUAAGAUUCGCGUUCGGUACUUUGAUAAUUUGAUAUGUGGGUGGACCGGCACUUGGGUACUGCCCUAACUUGGACAAGCAUCCCACUUAUGAUUAACCCCUAUUGCAAGCAUCCGCAACUACAAAAAGGAGUAUUAAGGUAAACCUAACCACAACAUUAAACAUAUGGGUCCAUAUCACCCCCUAACGAAGCAACGCAUAAACUAGGGUUUAAGCUUCUGUCACUCUAGCAACCCAUCAUCUACUUAUUACUUCCCUAUGCCUUCCUCUAGGCCCAAAUAAUGGUGAAGUCUCAUGUAGUCGACAUUCACAUAACACCACUAGAGGAAAGACAACAUACAUCUCAUCAAAAUAUCAAACGAAUACCAAAUUCACAUGACUACUAAUAGCAAGACUUCACCCAUGUCCUCAGGAACAAACGUAACUACUCACAAAGCAUAUUCAUGUUCAUAAUCAGAGGAGUAAUAAUAUGCAUAAAGGAUCUAAACAUAUGAUCUUCCACCAAGUAAACCAAUUAGCAUCAACUACAAGGAGUAAUCAACACUACUAGCAACCCACAUGUACCAAUUUGUGGUUUUGAUACAAGAUUGGAUACAAGAGAUGAACUAGGGUUUUGAGAGGAGAUGGUGCUGGUGAAGAUGUUGUGGAGAUUGACCCCCUCCCGAUGAGAGGAUCAUUGGUGAUGACGUUGGUGAUGAUUUCUCCCUCCCGGAGGGAAGUGUCCCCAGCAGAACAGCUCCGCCAGAGCCCUAGAUUGAUUCCGCCAAGGUUCCGCCUCGUGGCGGCGGAGUUUCAUCCCGUAAGCUUGCCCACGAUUUUUUCCAGGGUAAGAGUGAUGAUAUAGCAGAAGAUGGACGCUGGAGGCCCACCAGGGGGCCCAGGAGAUAGGGGGUCGCGCCCUACAGGAGGUGGCGCGCCCUCCUAUCUCCUGGACAGGGUGUGGGCCCCUGGCCUAUUUCUUUCGCUCAUAAAUUCUUAAUAAAUCCAAAAAGUUGUUUCGUGGAGUUUCAGGACUUUUGGAGUUGUGCAAAAUAGGUUUCCAACGUUUGCUCCUUUUCCAGCCAGAACGCCAGCUGCCGGCAUCCCCCCUCUUCAUGGUAAACCUUGUAAAAUAAGAGAGAAUAGCCAUAAGUAUUGAGAUAUAAUGUGUAAUGACAGCCCAUAAUGCAAUAAAUAUUGAUAUAAAAGCAUGAUGCAAAAUGGACGUAUCAACUCCCCCAAGCUUAGACCUCGCUUGUCCUCAAGCGAAAGCCGAAAUCGAAAAAUAUGUCCACAUGUUUAGAGAUAGAGGUGUCGAUAAAAAUAAAGUACGGACAUGAGGGCAUCAUGAUCAUUCUAAUAACAGUAACAGAUAUAGAUUUUGUCAUCCGAUUUCCUAUGCUCAAGUAAUAAGCAAUUCACAAUGUCAAGUAUGGUUCGUAAACUUCAUUGGGAACUAACAAACUAUAAUCUCAGUCAUUGAAGCAAUUGCAAUUUAUCGUAACAUCAGAAAGAUUCAAUAAUAGAGCUUUUCAACAAGCUCACGUACUCAACUAUCUCGUAAUCUCCCAUAAUUGCUAACACUCACGCAAUACUUGUGGUUAUAUAGUUUCAGUCGGACACUGAGAAAGAUAGGGGCUUAUUGUGUUGCCUCCCGACGUAUUCACCUUUAGGUGAUGUCAACAAUAAUAGCCUAUGCCAACUUACAUCCAAUUGGAUAUAUGUAUCAUGAUCUUUCAAACACGAGGAGCUUGCCAAAGGAUAAAAUGAAAAAGGGGAAAGGUGAGGAUCACCUUGACUCAAGCAUAAAGUAAAAGAUAGGACCUUCGCGGAGGGAAGCAGAGGUUGUCAUGCGCGUUUAGGGUUGAUGCAUGAAAUCUUAAUGCAAAAGAAUGUCACUUUAUAUUGCCCCUUGUAUGUGGACCUUUAUUAUGCAAUCCGUCGCUUUUAUUACUUCCACAACAAGUUCGUACAAAGCUUAUUUUCUUUGCACUAAUAAGUCAUACAUAUUUAGAGAGCAAUUUUUAUUGCUUGCACCGAUGACAACUUACUUGAAGGAUCUUACUCAAUCCAUAGGUAGGUAUGGUGGACUCUCAUGGCAAAACUGGGUUUGAGGAUAUUUUGAAGCACAAGUAGUAUCCCUACUUGGUGCAAGGAAUUUGGCUAGCAAGAGGGGGAAAGGCAAGCUCAAUAUGUUUGGAAGGUCAAUGACAAUAUACUUUAACUGAGAUGCCAGAAAACAUAAACCAUUACGUUGUCUUCCUUGUCCAACAUCAACUCUUUUAGCAUGUCAUACUUAAUGAGUGCUUCACAAUCAUAAAAGAUGUCCAAGACAAUAUAUUUAUAUGUGAACCCCUCUUUCCUUAUCACUUCCUAUUAAUUGCAACGAUGACCAAGGCUACGUUCAUCAACUCUCAACAAUUUUUAUGCCUCAUACUUUCUAUGUGUGAAGUUAUCACUAUCCAUAAGAUCAAUAUGAACUCUUUUGUUCUUUCUAUUUUCUUAAGAUCAUAGCAACAUAGCAAAGCCCUUGACUCAACACUAAUCUUUAUUAUAGAUAGCACACGGACUCGCUUACAUAAAGAGAUCACAAUGCAAAACUCAAAACCACUUGAUAUCAAAACUUCAAUCUACUAGAUCAAGAUACUACUAAAAGGAUCGAACUAAAUAAAGCGGUAAAGAUAGGAGUGUGAUGGUGAUACGAUACCGAGGCACCUCCCCCAAGCUUGGCAGUUGCCAAGGGGAGUGCCCAUACCCAAGUGAUUAUUUCUUCGGAGGUGGUGAAGUGGGAAUUGUUGAUGAUGUAGGCUUGUCGUCCGUCUUCCAAGGCAUAUGCUCUCCAUCAUAAAAGGACGAUCGAGUCUCCGGGAUCCUUAAAUCUGCAGCCAAACUCAUUCGCUUGAAUCUAUAUUCAUACUCAUAGUUCUGGUUUUGCAGGUCAUAAAUCUGGGCUUGGAGGUGCUCGAUUUUCUCUUGAAGCUUGAAGAUGGUCUCCCCAAUGACUUUGGCAUCCAGCUUGUGGUUGUUGGUGAACUCCAUGAUCAUCAUCUGGUUGGCGUUGAGUCCACGCUCCACCAUCCCUUAAGACUUGAAAACUUCUUGCUCCAUGGCUUCGAGCUUUGUCUCCAUGCUCCCGGUACACCUUGGUCCCUCCACAUCACGGAUGUGCAGCACCCCCUCAUGCAUCUCAAUAGUUUGAGGGUGAUGCAGCACCUUCGCGAGAUAGGGGUUGAUAACCCUCUCGAAAAACUUGUCCUUGGGAGCACUUGGAGACGACAUGAUGCUCUAGAUCUGAAACAGAAAUAGCUCAAAACGAAAACAGAGGAUAUUUGCAUGAUACGGUGGUCAAACCUUCGGGAGUAUAUAUAAUGAAUUUUUACCGACCAAAAUACGUAACAUACAAGAAAACGGAGUCCGGGAGGCACACGAGGUGCCCACAAGACAGGAGGGUGCGCCCUAUAGGGGGGGGGUUCCUCUCUCGUGGGAGCCUCGUGUCCCUUUCGGACUACUUCUUUCUUCCUAAAAUUCUUAAAUAAUCCAAAACUGAUAAAAAAAUGGCAUUAGAGUUGUUUUGGAGUCGGUUUACUUACCGUACCACGUACCUAUGCCUUUCCGGGGUCUGGAAUGUUCUGGAAAGUGUCUCUUAUGUAUUCCUCGGGGGUUAUGGUUUCAAUAAUAUUAGUUUCAACAUUGAUAGGAUUACUUGAAAUAUAAUGUUUAAUUCUUUGACCGUUAACCACCCUCGGAUUUGUGCCUUCGAAGUUGUUGAUUUUUAUAGCACCAGAACGAUAGACCUCCUUGAUAACGUAGGAACCUUCCCAUUUUGAGAGAAGUUUUGCUGCAAAAAAUCUUAAACGAGAGUUGAAUAAUAACACAUAAUCUCCUAUGUUAAACUCACGCUUUUGUAUCCUCUUAUCAUGCCAGCGUUUGACUUUUUCUUUGAAAAGCUUGGCAUUCUCAUAUGCUUGGGUUCUCCAUUCAUCAAGUGAGCUAAUAUCAAACAACCUCUUCUCGCCGGCAAGUUUGAAGUCAUAAUUGAGCUCUUUAAUAGCCCAAUAUGCUUUAUGUUCAAGUUCAAGAGGUAAAUGACAUGCUUUUCCAUAAACCAUCUUAUAUGGAGACAUACCCAUAGGAUUUUUGUAUGCAGUUCUAUAGGCCCAUAAUGCAUCAUCAAGUUUUUUGGACCAAUUCUUUCUAGAUCUAUUCAUAGUCUUUUGCAAAAUUAAUUUGAGCUCUCUAUUGCUCAACUCUACUUGACCACUAGACCGCGGGUGAUAAGGAGAUGCGAUUCUAUGAUUGACAUCAUACUUAGCAAGCAUCUUACGGAAAGCACCAUGAAUAAAGUGUGAACCACCAUCAGUCAUAAGAUAUCCAGGGACUCCAAACCUCAGAAAAAUAACUUCUUUAAGCAUUUAGAAGUGUUAUGAUCAGCACUACUAGUUGGAAUAGCUUCUACCCACUUAGUAACGUAAUCAACAUCAACUAAAAUAUGUGUAUAACCAUUGGAGGCAGGAAAAGGUCCCAUAUAAUCAAAGCCCCAAACAUCAAAGGGUUCAAUAACAAGAGAAUAAUUCAUAGGCAUUUCUUGACGUCUACUAAUGUUACCUAUUCUUUGACAUUCAUCACAAGAUAAGACAAACUUAUGAGCAUCUUUGAAGAGAGUAGGCCAAUAAAAACCAGAUUGUAGUACCUUGUGUGCAGUUCUAUCUCCAGCGUGGUGGCCUCCAUAAGAUUCAGAGUGACACUUGCGUAGGAUUUGUUCCUGUUCAUGCUCAGGCACACAAUGUCUAAUAAUACCAUAUCUCCUUCUUUAUAAAGAUGUGGAUCAUCCCAGAAGUAAUGUCUUAAAUCAUAAAAGAACUUUUUCUUUUGCUGGUAUGUGAAACUAGGCGGUAUAUAUUUAGCAACAAUGUAAUUAGCAUAAUCAGCAUACCAAGGAGCAGUGCGAGAAGCAUUGACAACCGCUAAUUGUUCAUCAAGAAAACUAUCAUUAAUAGGCAGUGGGUCAUCAAGAACAUUCUCUAACCUAGACAAGUUGUCUGCAACGGGGUUCUCAGCUCCCUUUCUAUCAAUAAUAUGCAAGUCAAAUUCUUGGAGCAAGAGAACCCAUCUAAUGAGUCUAGGCUUAGCAUCUUUCUUUUCCAUAAGAUAUUUAAUAGCAGCAUGAUCAGUGUGAAUAGUAACUUUGGAAUCAACAAUAUAAGGUCUAAACUUAUCACAUGCAAACACAACUGGUAAGAACUCUUUUUCAGUAGUAGCAUAAUUUCUCUGGGCAGUAUCAAGAGUCUUACUAGCAUACUGGAUAACAUUCAAUUUCUUAUCGACUCUUUGCCCUAAAAUAGCACCUACAGCAUAAUCACUAGCAUCGCACAUAAUUUCAAAAGGUAAAUUCCAAUCAGCUGGCUGAACAAUAGGUGCAGUGAUCAAGGCUUAAGUGUUUCAAAUGCUUCUACACAAUCAUCAUCAAAGACAAAAGGAAUAUCUUUUUGCAAUAAAUUAGUCAAAGGCCUAGAGAUUUUAGAAAAGUCCUUAAUGAACCUCCUAUAAAAGCCGGCAUGACCAAGGAAACUUCUUAUACCUUUUAUGUCCUUAGGACAUGGCAUCUUUUCAAUAGCAUCAACUUUGGCUUUAUCAACUUCAAUACCUCUCUCGGAGAUCCUGUGCCCCAAGACAAUGCCUUCAUUAACCAUAAAGUGACACUUUUCCCAAUUCUGGAUGAGACUAGUGUCUUCGCAUCUCUGCAAAACUCGAUCAAGGUUGCUCAAACUAUCAUCAAAAGAGGAUCCAUAGACGGAGAAGUCAUCCAUGAAUACCUCACAAAUCUUUUCACAAAAAUCAGAAAAUAUAGCCAUCAUGCAUCUUUGAAAGGUAGCAGGUGCAUUACAUAAACCAAAAGGCAUACGUCUAUAAGCAAAAGUACCAAAAGGGCAAGUAAAAGUAGUUUUAGAUUGAUCCUUCGCGGACACAUGUAUUUGAGAGAAGCCAGAAUAACCAUCUAGAAAGCAAAAAUGUGUGUGUUUGGAUAGCCUUUCUAGCAUUUGAUCAAUAAAAGGUAAAGGGUAAUGAUCUUUCUUAGUAGCUUUAUUUAACUUACGGAAAUCAAUUACCAUCCUAUAGCCUGUAAUAAUUCUUUGUGGGAUCAAUUCAUCUUUAUCAUUAGGAACAACGGUAAUACCUCCCUUUUUAGGGACACAAUGGACAGGGCUUACCCAUUCACUAUCAACAACGGGAGAAAUAAUACCUGCCUCAAGGAGUUUUAGAAUCUCCUUUCUUACCACUUCCUUCAUUUUGGGGUUUAAUCGUCUUUGAGGAUCUCUAACUAGUUUGGCAUCUUUCUCCACUGAAAUUUUGUGUUGACAUAAUGUGGGACUAAUGCCCUUAAGAUCGUCCAGAGUAUAUCCAAUAGCAGCUCGGUGCUUCUUCAGAGUUUUCAAUAAUCUUUCUUCUUCUUUCUCUGAAAGGUUAGCACUAAUAAUAACAUGAUAUAUUUCUUUUUCAUCAAGAUAAGGAUACUUGAGAUUAUCAGGUAAGGGUUUGAGUUCGAACACGUGAUCACCCUUGGGUGGAGGGGGAUCCCCAAGAAUUUCAACAGGAAGGUUAUGUUUUGGCAUAGGUUCUUGUUUAAGGAACACUUCAUCUAUUUCUUCCCUUUCCUUCAUAAACAUAUCGUUUUCAUGGUCUAACAAAUAUUGUUCUAACGGAUCAGUUGGAGGAACAACAAUGGAAGCAAGACCAAUAAUUUCAUCCUUACUAGGUGGUUCCCUUUCACGAGGUUGUCUACUAAACUUAGCGAAAUUAAACUCAUGAGACAUACCAUCUAUGCCAACAGUGACGAUAUUCUUUUCACAAUUAAUCUUAGCACUAGCAGUAUUCAAGAAGGGUCUACCAAAAAUAAUGGGACAAAAAUCAUCUUGUGGGGAACCAAGAACAAGAAAAUCAGCAGGGUAUUUAAUCUUCCCACACAAGACUUCAACAUCUCUAACAAUCCCAAUAGGUUUAAUGGUGUCCCUAUUAGCAAGCUUAAUAGUAACAUCAAUGUCUUCUAAUUCAACAGGUGCAAUCUCGUGCAUAAUUUCUUUAUAAAGAUCAUAAGGUAUCGCAUUAGCACUAGCACCCAUAUCACAUAAGCCAUGAUAACAAUGAUCUCCUAUUUUAACAGAAAUAAUAGGCGUGCCUACAACAGGUCUACGUGUCUUAGUAUCGGGUCUAGCAAUAUUAGCAGUUUCACCCAAGAAAGAGAUAACAUGCCCAUCUAAGUCCUCAUCCAAGAGAUCUUUAAUCAUAGCAAUACCAGGUUCAACAUUAAUUUGCUCAGGAGGUGUAUAAGUCCUAGUAUUACUCUUACGAACAAGAGUCGAAGCUUUAACAUGAUCUUUUAUCCUAACAGGAAAAGGAGGUUUUUCGACAUAAGCAGUAGGAAUAAUAGGAUCACUAUAUGUAGUAGUCUUUUCUUCAACUGUAAUAGGUGCAACUACUUUCACUUCAAGAGGAGGAUUAUAUUUAAACCACUUCUCUUUAGGGAGAUCAACGUGAGUAGAAAAAGUUUCACAAAAAGUAGCUACUAUCUCAGAGUCAAGUCCAUACUUAGAGCUAAAUCCACGGAAAGCAUCGGUAUCCAUAAAAGAUUUAACACAAUCGAACUUAGGUGUCAUACCUGACUCCUUACCAUCGUCGGAACCCCAAUCUUCAUAGUUGCGUUUAAUCCUUUCCAAUAAGUCCCAUUUGAAAUCAAUAGUCUUCAGCAUAUAGGAACCAGCACAGGAAGUAUCGAGCAGGUUGCGAUUAUCAAGAGAAAGUCGAGCAUAAAAAUUCUGAAUAAUCAUUUCCCGAGAGAGCUCAUGAUUGGGGCAUGAAUAUAACAUUGACUUAAGCCUCCCCAAGCUUGAGCGAUGCUUUCUCCUUCGCGAGGCCAGAAAUUAUAUAUGUAAUUACGAUCACGAUGAACAAGAUGCAUAGGAUAGAACUUCUGGUGAAAUUCCAACUUCAGUCACUUAUAAUUCCAAAAUCUCGUAUCAUCACAUAGCCUAUACCAUGUCAUUGCAUCUCCCUUCAAAGAUAAGUGGAAGACCUUCCUUUUGACAACAUCAUCGGGGAUACCUGCAAGCUUAAAUAAUCCACAAACUUCAUCCACAAAGAUAAGGUGUAAAUCGGGAUGCAAUGUUCCGUCUCCUGCAAAGGGAUUAGCCAACAGUUUUUCUAUCAUACCCGAAGGAAUCUCAAAGUGAAUAUUUUCAUAAGGUUCAGUAGGUUGAGGAGCAUCUUUUUGCUCUUCUGGUUGGGGUGAAGAUACCCCAAACAAGCCCCUCAAAGGAUUAGUUUCCAUAGUGACAAGUAACAGAAAAUUUCAGCACACUAUAUAAAUGUUUCCUUACCAAGUUCCACUCACCAAAAGCGCUACACUCCCCGGCAACAGCGCCAGAAAAGAGUCUUGAUGACCCACAAGUGUAGGGGAUCUAUCGUAGUCCUUUUGAUAAGUAAGAGUGUCGAAUCCAACAAGGAGCAGAAGGAAAUGAUAAGCGGUUUUCAGUAAGGUUUUCUCUGCAAGCACUGAAAUAAUAGGUGAUAGAUAGUUUUGUGAUAAGAUAAAUAGUAAUGAGCAAAAUGUAAAUAAAGUAAAUAAAGUGCAGUAAGGUGGCCCAAUCCUUUAUGUAGCAAAGGAUAAGCCUGGACAAAUUCUAAUAAUGAAGAAGAAGCUCCCGAGGACACAUUGGGAAUUAUCGUCAAGCUAGUUUUCAUCACGUUCAUAAGAUUCGCGUUCGGUACUUUGAUAAUUUGAUAUGUGGGUGGACCGGCACUUGGGUACUUCCCUAACUUGGACAAGCAUCCCACUUAUGAUUAACCCCUAUUGCAAGCAUCCACAACUACAAAAAGGAGUAUUACGGUAAACCUAACCACAACAUUAAACAUAUGGGUCCAUAUCAACCCCUAACGAAGCAACACAUAAACUAGGGUUUAAGCUUCUGUCACUCUAGCAACCCAUCAGCUACUUAUUACUUCCCUAUGCCUUCCUCUAGGCCCAAAUAAUGGUGAAGUGUCAUGUAGUCGACGUUCACAUAACACCACUAGAGGAAAGACAACAUACAUCUCAUCAAAAUAUCGAACGAAUACCAAAUUCACAUGACUACUAAUAGCAAGACUUCACCCAUGUCCUCAGGAACAAAUGUAACUACUCACAAAUCAUAUUCAUGUUCAUAAUCAGAGGAGUAAUAAUAUGCAUAAAGGAUCUGAACAUAUGAUCUUCCACCAAGUAAACCAAGUAGCAUCAACUACAAGGAGUAAUCAACACUACUAGCAACUCACAGGUACCAAUUUGUGGUUUUGAUACAAGAUUGGAUACAAGAGAUGAACUAGGGUUUUGAGAGGAGAUGGUGCUGGUGAAGAUGUUGAUGGAGAUUGACCCCCUCCCGAUGAGAGGAUUGUUGGUGAUGAUUUCUCCCUCCCGGAGGGAAGUGUCCCCGGUAGAACAGCUCCGCCAGAGCCCUAGAUUGAUUCCGCCAAGGUUCCGCCUCGUGGCGGCGGAGUUUAGUCCCGUAAGCUUGCCCACGAUUUUUUCCAGGGUAAGAGUGAUGAUAUAGCAGAAGAUGGAUGCCAGAGGCCCACCAGGGGGCCCAGGAGAUAGGGGGCCGCGCCCUACAGGGGGUGGCGCGCCCCCUAUCUCCUGGAUAGGGUGUGGGCCCCCUGGCCUAUUUCUUUCGCUCAUAAAUUCUUAAUAAAUCCAAAAAGUUGUUUCAUGGAGUUUCAGGACUUUUGGAGUUGUGCAGAAUAGGUUUCGAAUGUUUGCUCCUUUUCCAGCCAGAAUUCCAGCUGCCGGCAUUCCCCCUCUUCAUGGUAAACCUUGUAAAAUAAGAGAGAAUAGCCUUAAGUAUUGAGAUAUAAUGUGUAAUGACAGCCCACAAUGCAAUAAAUAUUGAUAUAAAAGCAUAAUGCAAAAUGGACGUAUCAUGAGUCACCGCCAUAAACUUGGCCAGGGCUGGAUACCCGAGGAUGGCGUUGUACGACAGGCGAAUAUGGGCGACGUCGAAGUCGAUGAGCUCAGUACGGUAGUUCUUGCGCUUUCCGAAGGUGACAGGGAGGUGGACCUGCCCUAUCGGGGUGGUAGAACCAUCAAUGACCCCCGAGAAAGGCUUGGUUGGCUGAAGCUGAUCAUAUGGCACUUGGAGAUUGUUGAAUGUCUCGACAGACAGGACAUUGAGCCUCGUGCCACCAUCGAUGAGGGUCCUGGUGACCUGCACAUUGCUGAUGAUGGGGAACAGAACAUUGGCAGGACUCCAGCUGUUGCUGCGCACUUGAGCUGAUCCGUCGAGCUGAACGUGAUGGCACACAUGGACCACCUGAGAGGGCGCGAGGCCUCGGGCUUUGGGAGGACUGCAUUCACCUCGCGAGCAAACUGCUUGAAGAUGCACUGAGAGGCUGGGGCUUGAGCUCCGCCCAAGAUGCAAGCGAUAGCGCGCGGCUCCUGGAAGCCCCGAGCCCCCUCGUCCUGAUGCUGGUGUUCAUUCCUCCUUGGUGGCAGUGGCAGAGGAGGAAGGCCUGCGUUGCCUUGCGGGCGAUCCUCACGAGGUUGAUCCCUCCAAGCCCCCUCGCGAGGCUGGUCCUGCCAGCGGUCCUCGCGAGGUCGGUCACGCCACCCUUGGCGAGGGCCACGGUCUUCCCAUCGUCCUCCACCUUUUCCUCCUCCUCGGUCAUAGCCCCGAUCGUUGCACUCGGGGCGUCGGCCGACACGUCCUUCUUGUUGGGGAACGUAGCAGAAAUUCAAAUUUUUCUAUGCAUCACCAAGAUCAAUCUAUAGAGAGACUAGCAACAAGAGAGAGGGGAGUGCAUCUUCAUACCCUUGAAGAUUGCGAUGCGGAAUCGUUACAAGAACGCGGUCGGUGGAGUCGUUCAUGAAGCGAUUCAGAUCGCGGCCGAAUCCGAUCUAAGCACCGAACAACGGUGUCUCCGUGUUCAACACACGUACAGCCCGGGGACGUCUCCUCCUUCUUGAUGCAGCAAGGGGAGAGGAGAAGUUGAGGGAAAACUCCAACAACACGACGGCAUGGUGGUGAUGGAGCUCGUGGUUCUCCGGCAGGGCUUCGCCAAGCACUACGGAGGAGGAGGAGGUGUUGUAGGAGGGAGAGGGCUGCGCCAGGGGAAGGGUGCGCCUGCCCUCUCUCUCCCUCACUAUAUAUAGGGGGAAGGGAGGAGGGGGAGGCGCCCUAGGGUUCCCUAGGGGAGGGGCGGCGGCCACAGGGGAAACCCUAGAUGGGUUUGGGCGUCCCCACCCCCUAGGAAACUUGCC
rnacentral:lncRNA from 1 species